UUUGACUAGGUGUGGCAAUUCAUCCCUGAUCUGCAGAACUUGCAGCUUGAUGAUGUUUUGUUAAUGAAAUUCCAAGUUUACUAACAAGAAAGAAGCGGUAAGCCCUCUAAUCAUGAAAUUUAGGAAAAAAUCAGCAUUUAACCCUCUUCCAUAAAGGUUAAAGUAUCAGUAUGGUAUGGUACCAUAUUGGCACAUCUUACACCUUUUGAUGCCAACACCUCAAACAUGAGUUGAUGUACUAUAUGGCAGAAUUAUCAAGGAGCGCAGUAUACACGUUCCUUACUAGUAUAGUAUAGUAUCUACCAUACAUGCCAAAACUUAAAUUCUUGCUAUCCUUCUUUCUGUGGCCUCUAACGGAUAGUAAUUUGGGUGAGUCAUGCCUUCAUCAAAACAUCAAAAAUGUCUUAAUAUACAAAAUGUCAAAAAAAAGAGAUCUAUUUAAUGCUAAAAUGCCCAUCAAAAUUGAUGUUCGAUUUGAAUAGAGUCUUAUAACUCAAUCUAAAAGGCUAAUUUGGGGUAACUGGAAUCACUUAAUCGAAAGCCCCAUUUGGCUCUUUAAGUGCCCCUCUUUCUAGUUGAACACAAUGGGAAAGGUUUGGGUGGACAACAUUAAUAUUCUAUCUAGUGGUUGAUCAAAUGCAAAUAAUUAAAUCCACAGGCUGAUUUGGGUGUUCAGAAUCAACUAUAGCCCAAAAUCCUCUCUCUCUAGAUAUAUAUAUAUAUAAGUGUCAUCUAGCAUGGCAAAAGACAAUAGAUAAUUUCAAGAUUUUAUCAGGAAGGUUCCCUUUCAGACAUCUCUAUUGUGGUUAAUCCAGAUUCACAAACCUCUCCUCUUCUUCACCGUAUAUCAUGCAUGGAUGGAAGGCAUGGUAGAUUAUGCAUACUAUUUGCUUCAUGGUAAGAUUUGUCUUCUUUGCUCUUCUUUUCCCUAACCUUUCUUCUAGUUUUCUCUUGCUACCUUCCUUCACCAAUUACCUCUCUGGUCCUAAUUAUCACUUCUUUAUCUUCUUAUCCGUGGAGUUGUAGAUCUCUACAUAAACAGUCUUGGAUUCAGCUUAGAUACCAAUGAGUCACCCAUUUUACCUUUUGUUUGCAACUCAUGAACCUCAGUCAUUGCUUUGUUUAAAAUAUUUUCCAGCCUAUUUAUCCGUGGACUUGUUGCAAUCAGUUUCACAUUUCCAUCAUAUUCAAAAUAAAUUCCUUGCAAUUUCUUUUGCUAUUUUUGUUGCUAAGUAUUUAAAUAUCUAGGAGAUUAUUGACCAUACUUUUUACUUUAAUCUCACCCUAAUGUUGUUCAAAGUUAUUAGCAUCCAUUCAUGUAAGAAAAAUGUCAAAAUAGCAUAUGCAUACAUUCCCAAGUUUUUCAUAUGAAAUCAUUAGAGCAGGUUCCUUUCUUCUUAUCUUCCCUUCUUCAACCUCCUAAACAACAUCCUUGAAUAUCAUUCAUGUGUAGAGAUGGGCAUCGGGCCGUGCCGGGCCCGGCCCGGCCCAGGCCCACUGGGCCACAGACCAAAUGGGCCAUGCCUGGCACGGCCUGCUUAACCUAAAGGCUAAGCCCGGCACGGCCCUAGGCCCGUGGGGUGGCGGGCCAUGCCGGGCCCGGCACGGCCCGUCUGUCCAAAAACAAAUAGCUGUUAUGGGUGGCCCAUAACGGCUAUUUUUUUGGCCCAUAAUGGCUAUUUGUGGCUUUUUACCCAUUUUGCCCCUCCCAACAGCCAUAAAACGGCUAAUUUGAGGGGUAUUUUGGAAAAAAAAUUAGAGUCCUAUAAAAUAGCCGUUCCGAGCUAGCCCGCGGGCCGUGCCGUGCUUGGCCCACGAAUCGUGCCAGCCCAAACCCUUAUAGGCCGUACCGGACUCGGCCCGCGGGUCAGAAAUCCUUAACCCAGCCCGGCCCUCUUUUAUGAGCCGUGCCUAGCACGGCCCGUUACUAUAGCAGCGGGCCGUGCCAGGCACGGCCCAAUGCCCACCCCUAUCCAUGUGGAGCUCGCAUGAAAAUUUUCAUAAAGAGUGAUACAAGAAUUGAACUUUGAACCCCAAACAGCUUGGAUAUAAUGGAGAGCUUAAUGAAUAACAUGACUCUUCAGUAGAAGGAUGAAUAAAUAUUCUUGGGAAAUAUUUCUUAAAAAUCUAACAGUAGAUAUUAAACCUUCCCCUUAAAUUCAAGAAUCAAAAUUACAUCCACAUUCAGCGAGCAAGAAGAAUAGACAAGUAAGCAUUGAAGUUUCCAAACAUCAGAUUGAAUCUUCUGGUGACAAAUAUCAACUACCUUCAACUUAUUGAAAGCAUCAAAUUGAGCAAAAAUCACACGAAGACUUAACAAGAAGUGAGUAGUCCAACUCUAGACAAAAUAUCUGCCAAAGUUAAUCGAACAACAAGAAACACAUUCCAAAGUGUCACAAGAAUUUAAAUCCAUAUUCAGUGAAUAUAAAAACCAUAAGCAAGAAUUAAACAAAGAACUUAAAAAUUGCCAAGGGCAUAAUAUAUAAUCUUCUUCCAGCAUCCAUCAAUCCGCUUCAAAAUUCUUGAAAGCGUUACAACAUAAACAGAUAGCACCCAAAAACUUAAAAUUUGAAAAGGAAACAUUAAAGGAAAGGAAAAGAAAAAUCCGAUGCAUACCUUCCGAGAGCUUUAUGAUGCAUAAAGAGCCCCAAGCCGUUGCCAUCCACACCUACAAACCCCAACAUCCCAUAUAAAACCCAAAUUCACAUGCAUAUGUUUCAAAAAGAAGAGAUUUUUUUUUUAUCUUGAACGAGGACAAAGAUCACGAGUACCGGGCAAGAAGAGAAGCAAAGGGGCGUUUUUUAUCGGCGGCCCGCCGUCGACGGGGCAGAACCAGCGGAGGGGGCCCUGGUCGAAUUCCAGCAGAUCACCCACCGCUUGGAGGUAGUCGUGAAGGCUUCCGGCGUUCCGGUAUCCGUCAUCGUACAACGCCUCAAGGCCUUCAUGGCUCGCAUUGAUCCUCCUUCCCCUGCCGAGCCAUUGGUUCCUGCGAUGGAGGAGGCGGCGAAGGGAAAGAGGAGGAGAUCGGGAUGGGAGGAGAGAUGGGCAGAGAGUAAUAAGAGGGAGGGAGGAGGCCAUGGUCGCUGGGCUCGAGCUAGGCUUCCCCGACUCCUUUGGAAUGGUUUCUUUGGAGAAAUCUGUAUUCGUUCCUUUUGUUCUUUGACAGGGGGUUUCUUGGAAUCAUGCCUCCGGGAAGGCCUCCGCGGAGGAUUCACGGGAAUAAUGGAUUCCGUUGGAGAUGAUGACGCCGUGGGGAAAGUGAGAGGGCGUGGAUGGUGUGAGGGUGCAGGCGGACAUUUUCUUCCGAGGUUUUUUUUUUGGGGAAUUUGCUUCGCGGUCUUGUUCCAGCGGGGUCUUUUGAGGGACGGGAAAGUAAUUUCCCGUUUUUUUUUUCCUGGGAGGUUUAAAGCCGACGCAGCGGGAACUGGGGAGGCACCAGUCACGCGAGGAAGGUGAGAAAGGAUGGAUUUUUUUUUCUUUUUCUCUAAAAUAGGUAUUUCAUGUACGAAUUUAUUUAAUAAAAAUAAAAAAUAAAAAAUUACAAAGUGUCCGAAAAUGCUUCCCUCUUCGGCCCAUAUGAUGCCUCUGAAAUGACUAACUAUGUAAGCAGCCACUCAAUCUGCAGCUCCAAUAAUCUCUCUAAAUAUAUACUUAGUCUGAAAGAUCAUUUUAUCCUUUAUCAUCAUCCAAAUAUUUCAAAGCAGAUGAUGAGCCACACCACCAGGUGGGUUAGGACUCAGUUUUACUCGGAAAACAUUCCCGAAAAAUCUGCUUCUAUUUUACUUUCAUUUUUUUUAGAAAAAUCUAAGAAGAAAAAAAAUUACGGUGGAAUAAUUUUUUAUUUUUUGAACAAAAUUCUUUAAAAAAAAUAUAAAAACGUCAACGAUGAGUCGAUGACCAACAGGCACCUUAUUUUAUUAAUAGUUUGUUUCUUUAAAAAAAUUAACAAACUUAGAAAACUUAUAACUAGCUUUCAAAAUAACUUUUUUCUAUGAGAAACCUUUAUUUUUCCUUCUCAUUAUCUUGCAAAUUUUGCUUCUAAUCCGCAUUCACAGCUUGGCUGCUGAUUUGCAUAUACGAUAUGUGUUUAUAUAUAAUCUUGCUUAGAUAUAUAGUUUGAAAGAAGAGGGUAGUAAAAUGUUCAACCAAUAGAGGAUGUACAUAAGAUGACAGUCAAUCCAAAGGAUGAAUCGCAGUAAAAUAUGUAAUGAGCAACCAUGAUUCUCUAUCUUAUAUAAAAAGUUUAUUCAUUAUGUAACUGUUUAGACAACAUCUUGAUGCUUGGGAAUCAUUGUACAUAUGGUGGCUAUACAGUAUGACUAGAUAGUAACUCCAAAACCUUGAGCUAAGAUCUAAAGCUAGUAAUUGAGCAGAUGGCAAGUAAAAAUGAUGUUCGAUGUACCGAAGUGAAUCAGUACAGUAUAGAAAAAGCUAAUCAACCCAGUCCAAAGACAUUCUCAAAGUGCAAAGGACCGUGUUAUAGGCCGAUUAGAGGGGGAUGGCCAAAUCAAACUAUUAUAGGAUAGGCCGAAUGGAGGCUAGCAACAAGUUGAGACUAAUUGGGUAUGAUUAUCGAUUUGAUAUGCGGUAUAAAGUUUAGCCAUUUUGAUGAAUAUGUGUAGCGGAAGGAUGGGUAGUGCAAUUAUCAAAAUUACUAAAAGUGGAGGCCAAACAUGGACUGUUAUGGAGAGUGGGCAGUUGCUAUGUUGUUUGCUUUUUAAUAUAAAUAAGUGAAUUCUACUCUGAAAAAAGAACCUUUUGGGCAUAUCAAUGAAUCCAAUUUAUCUUUAAUUAUCUUUGCCUUACCUUUAGUUUAUCUUGCUCAUAGUUUACUAGUAGGACUCUACUUUACCCUUAGGUGUAGCAGUAGCAAUAUAUCUCUUCGAUCAUAGCCUCCACUAUAUCCUAUCCAAUUCUAUUCAUCUUCUUUCAUAGUAGGCGAAGUGGUGGUAGCAAAAAAAGUUAUUAAAAGUCAAGGCAUCUGGAACCACGUUGCUCUCAUUAUCUUUCUAUAAUCAUCCUAUUUUUGGCUAAUCCAACGUUGAUGGAACGUUGGUGCAUGUACCCCUAGCCAUGAGACAUGUUAAAUAAGCUUUCUGACAUACCCGUAUUCAGCUGCUCGAAAAAUAGCAACCUAAUAUUUGCAUUCCAACUUAUAAGAAAUUGUUCCUCUCCUAUACAGUAAGAUAUUUAUUCCAAAGAUAGAAAUGCAUGAAUAACACAAGAACAUCAUAAGAGAAGUUACACAAAUUAACAUCCAGACCUCCUGAAAAUAAAAAAAACUAGGUUCUCACUGUAUCCAAGGGAUUUCUUGAGGAAAAGUAGCAGCACUUUUAUUCUAAAUAUUGUAACCUGCCCUGGUGGCAUUGUGAUGUUUCUUUCCAAAUAUGUGUAAUUUAUUUACUUUAAUAAUUUUUAUUUUUAUCGAAGAGUUUCACAUCUUAUAGGGUGCUUCUUUUCCAAACAGUUCAAUUAAGUGCACAAAUCGAUCACCUGAUUUAAUGGUUCUUUUACAGAGCUGCCUACUUGAAGCACACCUUUAUAUAGACUGGUGAUUAAUCUUCUAAAUUGCUUCAAUAAGGAUCACAGCAAUGGUAGGAAUAAUUCCGGGUUGCAGGAAAAAAGGCAUUUAGCAGGACUAUUAUAUUGGUAAAUGCUUAAGUUGAGGCAACAGGUGGCUGCUGACCUCCAAAAGUGCAUUUAACAAUUAAAAAAAAGGUUUUUUAUACACAAAUUUUCAACAUAUUAAAUAUUGCAAUACUACUUUGUCUAACAAAUCCCUUGAACCUAUGUCCAGUGAAUAAUGCACUUCUGUAUAAAUACUACAACAGUAUGAAAUUUAAAAAUGAUAUACAUAUACAUACGAAAUGAGGAAUUAAAUGAAGAAUAUGCUGCACAAGUUGCUUGAUGAUAUUUUUGUCACCAAAGCACAACCAUACUCGAAAUGUGGGUCAAAUUCAUGGUAAUAGUGGAGAAAAACUAUUAAAUGAUUUCUCCAAGCUGUUUGUGUUGGAAUUUUUCAUAAGGUGGGCUUCCAUUGAUUAUAAACUGAUUUUAUUUUGAUUUAUAACAUAAUACAGACUAAAUUGUCGUCUAAAUAAAUAUUUAAGGAGUCCAUAAUUAUUGUGAUCAUAUGAUUAUUUUGGGUUUUAUUGUCUCAGUCGUGUGAUGUAGUGAAUAUUAUUGUAGGCCUAAUUCGGUUAAUGAGCUCUAUAAUGGGUAGACCCAUUAGCAUCACUAACUAAUCAAGGUCCUUACUCCACUUCUAUAUAUAUUUAUUUGUAGAAAAAAUUCUAAGGCAUCAAGAUCAUUACAUUCUUAGGGGGUGCCUAUUCUAUUGAGGAGACAUGCAUCAAGAAAGAGGAGAGAAAGAUCAACCCCAUUUUUGUACUUUUUUCUUCCAUAGAAUAUUGCUGCAACCCAUCAUCAAUGGCUGAUCAGGGCUCUUAAAGUAUACUUCAAUCUUUUCUGGUUUGAUUUAUGACUUUUCUUUGUGUUCUACUCUCCUGGAUGGUGACCAUGAAAAUCCCACAACUCGUUGAAAAACUCAGAAGGGCCAUCCAAUUGCAACCAAUAAUAGUAGAUAAAUAAUAUGACCAAUGAACAUUUGAUUUUAGCAUACAUGAGAAACACAAGAAUAAAACAUGACAUCAAUGUGAUAGAAUAUUACUUGUAGAAUUUAUCAUACCAAUUUCCAUAAAGUGGUCCCUUGAAACAAGACCACAGAACCAUAGGAGUCAAAAUAACCUAUCCAAUAGAACUAUCAAGAAGAAACUCAAGUAUAUGUUAAUAUGCAAAACAACAUGAAAGGGAUAGGAACUUGAGAAUCUGUGUCAUAACAAGUAAUAGGUACCUCUAUUAAUUAUAAAAUAGGCGAACAAUUCAUGCUUUGCAGAUUAGGGAUAAAUAGGAAUCUGUAAACAAGUACUCUAACUCAUAAUAGCCAAUUCAAACACAAGUGUUACAAGCAGCUAGAAAUGGUAAUAAAUCAAGUAAUAGGAACCUACAUAAACACAAAUAAACCAACAAUCCAGCCAUUAUACAUAAGGAAUAGGAACCUGGGAGCCUAUGCCAAUAACAAGUAGUAGGCACCUACCUUUUGGACAGUAAUAGGAAUAUGUGAACAAACAUCAUAACUCACAAUAGCCUAUUCAAACUUAGGUAUCACAAAGCAACUAAAGGGCCUGUUUGAAUGAUUGGGCUGAAAAUUCUAUAGGAUUCGUAGGUUGAGCCAGUACAGUUAUCAAAAUUAUAGGAUUACAUGCCGGGCUAAGACUAUAUUCAUAAACACCCAGGAGUACUCUUGGAGUGAGCCAACCCCAAUGCCAUAGCUUGGUUGCCAAAUACUACUGCAAUGGGCCAUCUAAUGACUACAGCCUCCAUGAAUAAUACUUGCAUGAAAACAUAAUCAACCAUGAUCUAGGUCACAUUUAAAUAUAUGUACAUAGAAAACUACAAAUAACAUAGUAGCUGUCAUAUUGCUUCAGUUGAAUCGAGUUUCAUUAAUUUAUCUCCUGAAUAUUGAACAUCAAGCUACGAAUGUCGUUAGCUACUGCAACUGAUCUGCACCCUCAUAUUGCUGUAUUUGUUCAUAUCAUCGAUACAUCUUUUCUUAGCUCAAGUUAUCAAACCUUGCUGAGAAUGGCAUGUCAAUGAUUAGAGCACAGAUAAACACAGCUCUGAUGUAACUUGAAUGCAAAAUCUUUUCGCAUUUUAAUGAUGAAUUGCUAAGAACCUCCAUGGGAGCGAAGGAUCACCCAAGAAUAACAUAGAUUGAUAUAGAAUGUUUUACCAUGUAUAUAUGUUAUUUGCGAUCUCAAUUAAAACCCUAGAUGAGCCGAUAUGAUGCAUGUAGGUAAAUUAAAUCUGCUAGAACUAAACUCGUGCUAGCACAUAGAUCAAGCACCAAUUAUUGACCAUACCACCUAUAAUUUUCUUAUAAUAACUAAUUUGGUUGGCCUAGCCUAUGGCACGACACCAGACUAAGCAAAUCCAUCUAGAAAUCAAAACAUUUUAGGCUUGUAUUGAUCACACAAAACAGGAUGAGUCCAUAAGCCUCUUACCCAUCAGAAAAUCCACUCACCAUUGUUGAUUAACCUGUUUGCUGCUGCGAGUGCCCAAUACUGGUACAAUGCGCCAUCCAACAACUAUGGUCUCCAUGCAUAAUACAUGCAUGAAAACAUAAUCAACCAUGGUUUCUAACACAUUUAAAUGCAUAUACAUUGAAAACUAUAAAUAGCAUACUAAUUGUCACAUGUCCCCGGCCCCUCAAGUCAAUCUAGUUUCAAUAAUAUGUCUCUUGAAUAUUGAAUAUCAAGCAAGGAAUGUUGUUAGGUACUUCAAUUAUAUAAUUUGCAUUCUCAUAUUCUUGUAUUUGUCAAAUCAUUGAUACAUCUUUUCUGAGCUCAAGUUAUCAAACUCUACAAAAGAUGACCCAUAUCAAUGAUUAGAGCCAACAUGAAGACAGCUCCAAUGUAACUUAAAUGCAAAGUCUCUUCACAUUUUAAUGGUGAAUUGCUAAGAAACUCCAAAGGUGUGAAGGAAAGAUCACCCAAUAGAAACAUAAAUACAGAUUUUUUUACAAUGUAUAUAUAGGUAUAUGUGGCCUCUAUUAACACACUAAGGACUCCUUUGGUUUGUGAAAAAAAAAAUUCUCGCUAAAAUAUUUUUUUUGAGAAGCUGAUGCCUAGGUAUAUGAUGUCUCGGAAAGUGAUUUUUGCAUAUUUGGUUGGUAGAGCAUUUACUUUCCUAAGAAAGUUGUGUAAAAUACAUAUUAUACCGUUAAAAAAAAAGUCCUUACCACAUUCUAUCUAAAAGCUUAAGGGUAUUUUGAAAAAAAAAUAUCUCAAUUUUUGGUAGGUGGGAAUUAGACUUUUCCAUAUUCCGUAUGAAUUUUUUUUCUCAUGAAAUAUGAAAAUCUUAUUCCUACAAAAACUCUAUUUUUUUUUUUGCGGCAUUACUAUAUUUUUUUCCAUUGACCAUAUUUUUUUCUUUCCUCUUCCUGUAAAUCAAAAGAGUUCUAGGAUGUUGUAAAUAGAAGUUGGACGACUGAACACCACACAUGUAGGGCUCGUUUGGUUCACGGGAAGCAUUUUUCCUCCUAGGAAUAUGAUUCUUGGGAAGCAAAUUUAUAGGAAGAAGAUGCCUAGAAAGUACUUUUGGCAUAUUUGGUUUACCAUGGAAAAGUGACAAAUUUCCAAAGUGCUUAUGUUUGGUUGACCAUCUACUUUCCUGGAAAAGUUAUGUAUAAUUCCUAUUAUACCCUUAAUAAAAAUUGGAUCUUUAAUGCUUCUUUAAUGCUAAAGGGUCUUUUUGGAAAAAAAAAUAAAAAUGGAGUGAUUUCCGUCUUAUGGGAAAGUAACUUUUCCAUGUUUCUCAUGAGAAAGACAUUUCCAUGAAAUAUGGGAAUCAUAUUCCCAUGGGAAUCCAACUUUUCCGUCUUUCUUCUUUGAAAACUCCAACCAAACAAAAGACAUCUUAUUACUUUUCCGUUGACCAUACUAUUCCCCCUUCUUUUUCUGCAAACCAAACGAGUCCGUAGGUAAAUUAAAUCCACUACAACUCAUCUAUAGUUUUGUUGUCAUAGCUAAUUUGGCUGGCUUUCCCUAUGGCCGAAUCCAGUUACCAAUCGGAACAUUGAAGGCUCGUAUAGAUCUACGCCUAACAUGCACUCACUAACACGUUAAAUGCUGGACCAGUCCACGCCUAUUUACUCCCCAUCCAACGCCCAAAUCUGCGCCCAUUCAUAGUUGCCCCCUUUGUAGUUGGCUAUGCUCACCACCCCGUGAGGAUAACUCAAUUAAUGCCUUUUCUCAGCUGACAACAUGUAAUAAUGCACUCAUUCUUCUCUAAAGAGUGUGUGAGUGACCUAACCUAUAAACAAAAAUAAUUAAAUUCUCGUCAGUUGUGCAGUUCUAACUAGCUUGCAUCUAAUUCAUUUGGAAGAACAAAAUGCUACAUGAAUUCUUUUUUACUUCUCAAAAAUAUCGUGUAUCUAUGUUAUAGAAAUUUUCUGUCACGAGGUAUGGAUCAUUUCUCUGAUGCUACAUAUAGAUAUAUGCUUGCAUGUAUUUAGUAUGGAGAAGCUCUCUCUCAUAGUAUUGUAUAUAGUUUAGAGAAAUUAUAAUUAGUUUAUUAAAUUUAAUUAUGAUCUCUAUUUUAUAUUAAUUUGAUUAAAUGGGUUAGGCAUGUUAUUAUUAUUACUACUGUUCUAAUUGUUCUAAAAUAUGUAUUUUAAUAUUCUUGUAAUUUGGAAAUUAUAAUGGGGCAAAUUAUUAAAUUUGUUUCAUAUAUAUUCUCACCUCAUCAAUGGAGAUUAUUUGUUGGCCCUGUCGACUUAUAAUCUAAGAAACUGGUUUCGUCACUAAGCCACAUGUGAUUAGAAUAGUAUUAUCUAUUAUCUGGCACUUUGUGCAUCAUAUAUCUGACCCAUGCCUCUAGGUUACAUGGUCAUAGCGUGAUUUUGGGUCUCUAGUAUUAGUUUACGAAAAUAAGAAUAAUAAUACAUUUCAAAAGAGAUAUAUAUAUAUAUAUUAUUUAAAAAUUAAUUUAUUUCAAGUUAGUAUUUUGCUAUUUAAUUAUUUAAUUGGCAUACUUAGACCCCACUUUGUUGUGUUAUAUUGUUUACUGGGCUAGUGUAGCUUAUUAUUCUAUCCAUUUCUAUUUUUCAGAUCCUGACCAAUGAUUGCUUGGGACUUGGGCGAGUGUGCUAUCUUCUGAAGAUAUUCGUGAUUAUUUGGAUUUCUAGUUUACCUUAGUUAGACUAGUUUAGUUUAGUUUGAGCAUUUUAUUCGAUUUGAAUUAUAAUAAUUAAUUAGCAUAUUUUGACUUAUGUUGCUUCGAAAUAAUUGAUUAUGAGAAUGAUUUGUUUUAGUUCAUGAUUAAAUUAAUUUUUAAGAAUUGAAGAAUUAUUAUUGUUUUAAGAUUAUAAUAUGAUCUGUAGGCUUGCAUGCUUAUAUGGUCCGCCAUAUAGGUAUGCGGCGUCUGUUAUGCUCUUAGUUUGAGGCGUGACAGCAGGUUGAUGGAAUAAUGGACGGUAAGCUUACCCCAAAGCCAAAGGUGAUCCAUUCUCUUUUAACUCUAAUGUACAAAUAGACUUCUAUGCAUGCCUUCAUUAUAGAAGAGCUCUCCUCUCUCUCUCUCACACACACACACAAACACGCACAAUGGAGUCCAGGGUGAAGCCUGGUUUAGAUGGAACUCAAGGGACAAGGAACCAAGUGAAGGAAGACGGGGUUGGAACGCCGAGAACGGUGAGGAUAUGCGACGCGGUCCUCCGUCUCGUCGCCCUUGCAGCAACACUCAUAGCAGCGGCCGUGAUCGGCACGGCGAGGCAGACAAAGACGGUGAACAUCCAGGUGUCUCCGACUCUCCCGCCGUUGCCCCUCACGGUGGCGGCCAAAACAGCUUAUUCCUCCGCGUUUGUGUAAGCCACUUCUGCUUCAAAGUCCAUAUCAUCAUGCUUGCAUGCCAUUCUCUAUUAUUUAGACCUUAGAUCUUAAUUAGAGGAUUUGUUCAUUCAUUUCAAGCUCUUUGCGUGGUGCAACCCUCAAAACAAAAAGGUUUUGACAAAUAAUGUCACGGUAGAUAGUGUUAAAAUAAUAAUAAUGAUAAUAAUUUAUUGUCUUCAAAAAAGAAUGAGGAGAGUGAGUCUUAAGGAUAUCUUUAAAGUUCUUAGAAAACCGGCAGAAGGCUUAUAAUGAAGAAAGUUACUGAAAAAAAUUCAGAUAUCAAUCACGUUUUGCAACAAAACCCAGUAAAUUUGGAACCGAGAUCUCGCAUCUAAUCAUGAUUUUGCAGAAAUAUAGAAAAACAGAAUUGAAAAAAUAAUUGAAUCCUUUAUCUAUCUUUAUUUAUGUUGGUUUUUUCUCUUUACAGCAUUUUAAAAAAUGAACUUUUUAUAUGAGUGCUCUUUUCAUUUAAUUGUGACGGAGUCUCUCUUAAAUAUUUACUAAAGUGUUUAAAAUGAACAUAUAAAAUAUAAAUAUAAAAUAUAAGUAUUUAAAAUAUUUAUUUAUUUUCUUUACACUUUAUAUUUAUAAAGUUCAUUUACUAAAAUGAACUUUGUAUGUUGCUGUUAUUCUGAGUUUUCAAUAUUUAAAGCAACGAGUCCAUGUUACAUAGUACGUAGUUGCUAUUUAAAAGCUAGUGAAAAUUAUAUACUAUUGCCUCUCAAUUCCCAUGUGGAAUUCUGCAUGUCGAAUUAAAUACCAACUACUUUCUCCUUAUCUAACCUCAACUAAUGCCAUCUUCACUGAUUCAGUAUUUCCCUUUGUUCCACGCCAAAUUAAAUGCCAACUACUUUUUAUCACCUCAAUUAAUACCAUCUUUCUCCAUCUCUAUCUCUAUUAUAUCUCUCUACUACUAGAAUGUGAAUUAUUAGGGUUUGACAAAUGGACUCCAUCCUAGAGUUGGACCGCACUUAAUUUAUUUAAUAUUAUAUGCAACCUAAAUGGAAUCCAUACUCGUGCACUCAAAUGGGUUAGAUGUGAGGUUGCAUGCAAUGUACGUAAUUUGUAACUCCAUGCAGCAACUACACUAAUGCACUUAUUAUGUUUAAUGUCACGAGAGGAAUAAGAGGAGAAGCAAAUAAUCAAAUUAGGAGCAAAUGGAAUCAAUUGAGAGGAACAAAAUAAAUCUCUAAAAGAAAUUUAUAUUGAUGCACAGAUUUUUUUUCUUCCAGUCUAUUGGAGAGAACCCUAUGAUUUAUAAUGGAUAUGAUCACCAUCAUAUGCAAGAAUAUUACUUCUUAACAAAUCAUGCAAGAUAAGAAUUUUUUCACUAAUACACAUCAUUUUAAGGCUGACGCUGACCAUGAGAAAUCCAUAGGUAAGUAGGCAUGUAACUCAGUCUUCUCAUGUAAUUAUUGNNNNNNNNNNNNNNNNNNNNNNNNNNNNNNNNNNNNNNNNNNNNNNNNNNNAUAUAUAUAUAUAUAUUGAGUUUGAUAUAUAAAAUUGAACCAUCACGUUCACAAUUAGAUUAUCCAAGUCUUAAUUUAUAUGUCCAGGAUCUCAUCAACUUUUAAAAAUCUUGCCUUUUGCUUCUUAUGGGAGGUGGAAUUCAUGGCAAUUUUCACUUUUAAAUUGGACUUGAGCCAUUCAUGAGGCAUGGAUUUGUUUGUUUUUUUUUUUUGUAUGAGGCAUGAGUUAGGAGUGGCACUCUACCAUUACCCUUCAUUUGUGAAUUAAGGGCCUUAUAUAUUGCCCUAGUCUGCAACUUAUGUUACCAUACUACAUUCCUCCUUUUCUUUUGAAAAGGACAAUGAAAUCCAGUUCCUUAGUUCUUGAAUUAAGACAACUCUGUGGCCCAGGCUGGUCCCUAGCUAAAGUGUAUUGCAUAUGCCCUGCCCACACCUUGUGGCAACUGACUUGUCUUGUCUACCCUCAAACAACAUAUAGCUGAGCUUUGUGUUUGAUAAUAUGUCAUGUGUUCCUGGCUUGUGAGGCUGGCUUACAUGAAGCAGUCUGACAAUUUGAGAGAAGUAGCAACUUAUUAUCAAACUUAUUUCUCUACUUACAGAUACUUUCUCAUAGCCAAUGUGAUCGCAUGCGUGUAUUCUGCUAUCUCAUUAGCGACAUCGACCGUAAAGAGGGAUAGCAAAAGUAACAUUGGAUUAUCGUUAUCCAUCAUCGACAUAGCAAUGGUGGCUCUCCUCUUCUCAGGCAAUGGAGCUGCGCUGACCUUCGGAUUGUUGGGCAAGCAUGGCAACUCGCAUGUGCAAUGGCAAAAGGUAUGCAAUGUGUUCGGGAAGUUCUGUCUCGAUGUCGCAGUUUCUAGCAUGGUGUCAUUGCUUGGAUCUGUGGCCUAUGUGCUUCUAGUCCUGCUUGCUUUAGUUAGCCUACAUAAGAGAUCUCCAUAAGAUGGAGAAAAGAAAUGUUGUAGUUCUAUAUGAUGUAUGUGAUCAUGGAUAAUAAACAAACUAUCUCUAUGUCCUCCAGCCUGUGUAUGCCAAAGAUUGAGUAGGGCAACUUACUGACAUCAGUUUGAUGCCCUCAUGUUAAUUAGGCUCAACAUUACCCAAGCUGUGAAACUUGUCCACAUAGCAAGGCUGUGAGCUCCUUUCUACAAUAACGUAUUCAACUUUUGGAAUGUUGUCCUUCUUGAUUUGAUGAUGCCCUUUAUUUAUUUUAUCAGUUUUCUUCUGAGGAAGAAAAAUCUCAUGAGUGUUCCCAAUGUUUCUCUUCUCUAGAGUGAUCGGCAUAAUUGGUUAGCAAUCGAGCGCAAUUGGGAUCUGAUACAAUGCAAUUGAGCACACUCAGAAGGCACAAUUGGGCAUAUUAAUGGAUUCGCCUGGUCCCAUGAAUGCUCACUCACUGUGCAACUAAUGGGGGCAUCAAAUUGGAUGAGUUGGGAUCCUCGGUGGUGCAUGUUUUGCACUAUAAAGAGCUAUAGUGACUUCAGGAGCCACCACAUCAUCCCAUUGUGGAGAUGGAUGGCACGGUGUGAUGUGCGUUGGGUGCCAGAAAAUCAUCCAUCUCCACACUGAAUUGACAAGGCGGCUAUCGAGAGAUAUAUGACCCUCUAUGCGGCAAAACAUGCACCUUAGAGGAUCCAAACUCUGGGUUGAACCAUCUAAUUCAAUGCCUCAAUUAGACAACCUAAGAAGGUCCAAAAUAGGUGAGAAAGCUAUGUUCUCAUUGCUUGAGUCAAUCUUCACGGAGCGGUAUAUAACUAUCUCGAAGUUUUGAGACCCAAGCCAAGCCAAAUCUUAAAUUUUAAAUACUACAAAAUUACCAAUCUUUCUAUCACAAGCAAUUGUAAUCAUUACGUUUAGCUAAAUGCAUCAUAAAUAUUGAAGCAAAACCUCAUUUACUAAAUAUUGGGGUCUUACAAUAAGUCUCCACAGAAGAUGGAUCAAUGAUCCAAUGGCUCUUGAAAUAAAAUAUCUUUGCCAAUUCCUUACGUCGUCUCUUUUCUCAAGUACCACUAGUCUUCUAUUCUUGGAUCACAUUGUAAAACUUCCUGAUUCCACAUUCCCAUGCCUUCGACUGAAAAAAGAAAAAUCAACUAUUUCAAAAACAGGGUCCAUUAUUCACUGGACUCAUUUAAUAUUUUUCUUUUUGUUCUUUCCCUACUUUUCUACAAUCAUUUGUUCGCUUUUUGUUAUCUCAGUAGCAGGGAUCCCACCAAAAAAUCAAAUAACAUUAUAAAAAAUUAUGUUAUUUGUUAUUUUAGCCGUUGAUUGAUUCUUUUCUGGAUAAAAACAUGAAAAAGCUUAUAAUGUUUUCCAAGAAAAAGAAAUCUUUUAUAAGGAAUAACAUCAUUUGUGCUGUUAUGAUGGAAUAGAAGAAUGUAACAGAACAUUAAGGCCAUAAUUUCUCCAAUCUCAGAAACUGAUGAAUUUCUCAAAACAAACAUUAUUGGUUUAAUAAGCAGUGAAGUAGUUUUAUGGCAGCCAUUGUUAUAUACUUCAUUUUAAUAUAAUUGCAAGGAAGUAAUAAUAGCUCUAAGUAUAUCAUAAAGCGAACUCUCAGGUGUUGUGGAAUUGAUCAUAACAUUCUACCAUCCCUAUCUUCUUCUUUUUUAAAGAUAUUUUUAUAAAUAUAUACUUCUUGUUAAAUGCAUCCCUCUUGUUUAAAAUCCACUGACUCUUUCUCUGUUUAAGAAAACCCUCCCACUUCCCCUGUUUCAACCGUCAAGCCAUUCUCUCAUCCUCCUCUUCCUCUUUCCACCUUACCUUGCCAAUGUUUGUUUUCCUUCCCUCAACUCUCUUCCUAUCACUCUACCCAUGCCCACUUCACAUCUCACUUCUCUAGCCCUUCUCUACUAAAAUUAGCAUCCCAGUGCCCAAGACUCCUUGUCACUAUGGAAUCUAGAGAAUUCGCUAGAUAUAUACAGCCUUAUCUUUGCAUGCCGAAACGUUAUUUCUGUGUUUCAAACUUGUGACCCCCAGAUCAUAAUGGAGCUAGCAAUCUUACCAUUACACCAAGACCCAUCCUCGUUUUAGAUCUCCACUAAUUCAAACCAAAUCUUGUAAAGAGAACACAGGUCAGUAUAGAUACAUGGCAAACAAGUUUUAAAUGAUUUAUUAUAUAUGUUUUAUAAGAUGGUGCAGUAAAUAGGAGAUACAUAGGUAUAGAGCUUUUACAAGAAGAAAAGAUGAAAAGGUACGUUGAUUUGGACUAGGGAGCGAAAAUUUUUGGUUAGAGGUAAAACAAGCCCUUUUACAUUAGAUAGUAUUAGUAUAAUUUUAGAAGUUACAUAACAACCUAUAUCACCCAUAAUAUAUUUUUUUAUUAGCGUGAUCCCAUAUCAAUCUAUAAUUUUUUUUUGUUAGCACGAUUUUAUUAGAGUGAUUUUAGAGAUCACAUGACAAUAUAUAUCAUUUAUAAUAUUUUUCUUUGUUAGCAUAAUCAUAUAUUAACCUAUAUUAGUUUUCUUGUAUGGAGUCUGUAUACGAGUAUAUAUAACUCUUGAGAUGUACCGAAUAUGAUGAAAGAGAAGUAAAAUCACUUUUCUCUUUCUUUUUUCUCUUGUUUUUAUCUUUCUCUGCAAAUAUUUUAACAAACAGUAACAAAUCAAAAGAGCCUUCUGCUAUCCUACCUGGAGACACUCGAUGCACUACAAUAGGUUUGUUUAAGGUACCCGCUCCCAUUCGUCUUACAAAACUUCCUUGAGAGAAGGAAGAACAAUAUGCCAUCAUUUCAAUAUUUAUUUAACUUCUUUUUCACCGCUACCGCUUGGUGUUAUGCGAGAUAGCAAUUAGUUCUUCUAGUCGAUCUCAACCUUCCNNNNNNNNNNNNNNNNNNNNNNNNNNNNNNNNNNNNNNNNNNNNNNNNNNNNNNAAAGAAAGUGAAUUCCGUUCCGUCACCCACGCUUUAGCUUCUUAACAUGUGAACUAUUGAGAUAAAAAAAAAUUAAUGAAAUGUAUAGAAUGUUCGGUCUUUCUUUGAUCGGAUUCUAACACACGGCUUGACCAUUAGCAUUUAAUUUUUAGUUCUCCACAUACUUAUGCAAGAUUUUUGCACACACACUUAUAAUUAUCUUGUACAUACUUAUAAUAAUUUUUGUGCACAAUUAUACUAUCCUCGUACAUAUUUACCUCUGUGCAUAACACAGUUAUUUGUAACUGCAUAUAUAUUGAGAUUUAAUUGUGUGAAGUUGCUAGGGGCUGAAAAUUAAAGAAGCUUUGAAACUUGGGAUUGUUUGUAAAAAUUGUAGUAUGGUCGAUAAAAAAAAGGGCUACUAAAUACACCUUUCCUUUCGUAUGCAAUGCACUUGCAAAGACCGUGUUAUGAUGUUACUUUGGCCUUUAUUUUUAGCCUUGGCCUGUAAAUGUUGCUCGACAUCAAAUUGAGCUGUCUUUGAGUUAUUGUCCUAGAUUACCACCAUUUUCUUAUCCAUCUCGGAGAUGGAUGGCAGACAAAUGGCUAUUACUCAUCUCUCGUGUGCAUCAUGUUUGAUACUGAACGUGAUUGCUUAAAUUCUCGAGAAAGCGACAAUCAUCCAUCUUCGAAAUGAAUGACGUGGCAGCUAUCUAAAGUUGUACAAUCUUCUACGAUCGCCAAACGAGAGAUUGCAUGAACCCAAAAAGAGCUCCAUAGUGCCUCUUCUUAGUCUAAUCAAUGUUGUGUUUUUUGAGAUAAAAAACCAUUUAAGGGACUAUAAAUCUUUAAAAAAGGUAAUAGUUAACUACAUGAGGAAUCAAAACAGGCUAAUGAUGCACCCUUGCUAGGCCCUGCACGUUCAGACAUUCUCCUUGCUUUUCUAGGCAAAAUAUGUCAUCAGAGACCAUGGGACUAGGUUUCCUUAACAGGCAUCGCACCCUCGGACCACCAUCAUCACCUCUUUCCAACUUAAGAGACUCUAUCAUACCGUGACAAACCCUCUCGUCUCUCCCUUUCUAACCCCAUCCAAUUAAAGAGUUAGUAGUAGGAAGUUUCACCACCUUGUAGGUGUGAGUGCCAAGAGUUGUUGAGAUUGCAGUCUUGCAGAGAGCCAUAAGAAGAAGCAAUGGAAGGGGACUUCCCUGAGGCUACCUUAACCAAUUUGCUGGAGGCCAGCUCUCAGAGAGAGAAGGCAUCGAUGAGCAGCAAGAACAAUGUGCUCUACGUCGAGCGCAACCGAAGGGAGAAGAUGAACGACUUCUACACCAUGUUGCAGUCCAUGGUUCCCAAUCUCUUCCCUAAGGUUGAGCCACACUCUCUCUUUUUUUUCUUUUGCUAUCAUUUGGUUAUAAUUAGAAGUAUUUCCUUUUUUCCCCUUAUCUUUGUAGUUGUUCUUAGGUUCUUUACGUUGCAUGAAAAGAUCAGCUUUUCUCCUUGCAUUUUGAGUAACUUGCACAAAUAUAUAACCUCAGCUAUUACUUGUGUUAUAAAGUAAAGAUAAAUAUGACAGUGUUAAUAUUCCUUCGCUUUUGUUACACUUAUGUCUGAAAACUGUCAUUCUUCUGCUGAAAUUUCUCUGGUUGUAUAACCAACUAGCGUUCAUUUCAAUUGAAUCUUGAGGAUCGAUUACAGGAAUGACACCUCAAUGGGAAUCAAAAUGCAGGCAACAAGAGCAAGGAUCGUCGGCGAAACUAUAGCGUACAUUAAAGCUCUCGAAGAAGAGAUCAUAACACUUGAUGCAGAGAAGGUGGCAAGAGAAGCGUCGAGCAGAUCCACCGCAUUACGAAUCACCCGAAGCAGUUCCUCUGUCGAUGUUACCGUCUCCGGCAACGUAGCAUUCUUUGGAGUAUGCCUUGUGUCUCGGCCGAGGCUGUUGACACAAGUGCUGGAGGUGUUUGAGAAGCACAAGGCUGAGGUCUUGUCCUCCACUGCUGCAUGCCAUGAUGGAAAUGCCACCAUAACGGUCACUGCAACGGUGGCGGAGCAAGAGGCUGUGGAGAGGAUUAAAGGAGACCUCAUGAUCAUAUAAUCCUAAGACUAGCUUCCACACCUGUGCUUCUUUCUCUUUUUUUUUCAAAAAAAAAAGAAAAAACAGAUGCAUCUAGUUUGGGACUAGGGCUUAGUUGAGUUGAGUUGUAGUCUUGUAGACACAAAUGCAUGGGAAUGGAAGAACAACAAUAUGAUAGUAUAUAUGCAUAUAUUGGAAAAGGAAACGAUAUGAAAAGAAUACGGUUUUAGUCUUUCAUGGACUGAUGAGGAGAAACAUUUACUCCGUUGUUCUCAAAAGAGUCAAAGUUGAUGUCAGUGUCUGGAGCUGAAAAUACUGAUCGAGCUUCCUUUUGGAUCGGUUCCAACCUACUCUCUCUCUAUAUAUGGAUGUCACGCGUUUUCCAAAAGAAGGGGAUGGUUACUAAGUUCAGAAGGGUCUAAGCGUUGAGCACUGUCAGGUUUUUGCGGCGCAUGAGGUUCUUCUUAGUUGUUUAGAGGCCAACUGCACUAUCUUCGUCUCAGCCCCAUAUCAAAGAUUUAUGAUUUGAAAAUUUUUAAAUUUUGAAUUCUGUAUUCCAGAUUUCGAAUUUUAAACUUUGAAUUUUGAAUAGCAUAUAUUUGGAAUUGAUCUUAAAGACGCAUUUGUUAUUUCUUUCAAUCUUUGCAUCAUCCUAUUUGUAAUACAUGAUUACCACUUCAUAACAUUGAGAUAGGAAUUUUUUCAUGAUAUUUUCUUUUCACAUAUUCUUCUUUCGAUAUGGUAUCAAAAAUUUUCAAAUCCGAUAUCCUAAUACUUUCAUUGAUGGCUUAUGGGCCAGGAAUAGGAGCCGGAGCUAGAUAAGCAAGGAUUGCCUCCACAACCGGCCAAUUUUGUAGCUAGCAAGGCUAGGAUCGAUGCAGGGCAAAAGUCAGAGAGCAAUAUUCCACGCAUCCUUCCAGCUGAUCAGCUAUAGCUACAUGACUCACCAUAUGACUUUUUGUCCGAAACAUCCUCUUAGUGAGUGCUUAUAAUCCGGAAUGCAUUCCUUAUGGGAUGAAUAUAUAAAACUAAGUUACAAGGAUGGGCUGAUGUGCCUCCUGAUUAUGUUAAUCAUUCAGAUAUCUACGAGAUGCAUUGCCGCUUGACAAGAUUUUAGAUAUUGGUAUGUAUGUUGUACUUUAAAUAUAUAUAAUUAACUAUAUUAUUUUAUAUUUUUUUAUCUCAUUACUUGAUUUGAGGAUAUUUCAUGUUGCUUCUUGUAGCAUGCAACAUCUCACUAAUUAUUUUAUAUUUUGUAUCAUUUUAAAACAACAAGAUGCAUCAUUUAGGUUAAACCAGGAUCAUAUAAACAUUAAAAAAUAUUUAAAAAAUUAAAUUAGUCUUAAAAUCAUUGAAAAAAAUUGAUUAUCAAUUACUCGAAAAACUCAAAAAAAAUAGUGCUGGUAUGGAACCGGCAUGCCCAAGUGUACAGUGUGUCGGCGUGAUAUCAGUUCAGUACUGUAUCGAUCCAUCCGCCGAUCGGUAUAGGUUUCGAUAUCAGUUCGGCGAACCUUGAUGACAUAGAAUUCUUCAUAUAAUUGUAAUUAUUCUAAUUACAUAUCAUGCUCUCCUCUUUGCUCAUCUUGAGAAAAAAUAAUUUUCAGGACCUUCUCCAUUUUUUUUUGGUAUAUACCGGAGCCUCUCACAAGUUUUACUACUCAAGUAAUGCUUGUUGAUAACAAAUGGUGACAAACACACUUUUUCAGAGCAGAGUUCAUAAUAAAACCAUCCCACUAGGAUAACAACUUGUCUAAGGAUUUCAUUAAUUUGUACCAAUAAAGAAUACUUUGCCAUUAAGUUGGAAGUUGAAACACAACUAUUUUAUAUAAUCAAAUUGGAAUCUAAUAGUAUUAGAUCAUUUAUCAAUUAGCUUUAGUUCUUUAGAAGAAAUCAAUUCGAAUCUAUUUUUGGAUGGGAGCAAAAGCUAUUCCCACUACAAAAAAACUCAUCUUUUCCGGUGUUUUUUAUAACUUUUACCGACGCUUAUAAGCGUCGGCUAAAGUACCGGCGAUGCUAACCAAAGCGUUCCAAAAGCGUCGGUGAUACGAGAGUGGCAAAAUUUUUUGCCGAUGCUAAACUAAAACGUCGGCAAAAAUAGGGAUUUACCGAUGCUUGUAAAGCGUCAGCGAAUACCAAACUGAUACCGACCUCUGGUUUUCUCUGUUCGCCGAUGCUUUUGUCAAGCGUCGGCAAAUCGCUUUUAUUCUCGAUGCUUGAAAGCGUCGGAAAAUUCUGUUUUCGCCGACGCUAAUGAAAGCAUCGGCAUGACCCUUACUUUCACCGACGCGUUUAAUGCAUCGGCGUAGGCAUGCCAGGUGUGCCUUCCAAGCAAGGAAAGUAAUUAUGCAAUAAGUCCGUUCCUAGCAGGAUCAGCCAAAAAAUCAAUUAAUCUUUCCUCUAUUAACAGGAGAUCAUGAAUUCAAAUCAUAAUGAGAUGCUCGGGAAUUACAAAUUAUUACUAUUAGAAUUACUGGACGUGUCCAUGACACACUGCAAAUAUUAUCGAGGUUCUCAAAUCUACUUGAUUUAGGCAAAGUGCUUAGGAAUUGUGCCGAAGGGAUUAGCAUCUAGCCUUAGUGACAGAAUGGAGCCAAGACAAUUUCAAUUUAUCUUAAGAGUUGGUUACUUUCAUUCAUAAAUGACUACUACAGCUAGUGGAAUAUAUAGGUUGAACCAAACACAACUGCAGCAGCUGCAAUCAAAUCACUCUUCAAAUAUAGAAGAGUAAUCCUAUGUAGGCAUUGCAGGGCCACUCUAUUCAACAUUCUGAUCACUAUUCUGUGUGGCAUGAGGAUAUUCAUGUAAUCGGCUAGUUACUGUAAUGGAUCAGGCUCAUGUCAGACUAAACCUCAAUCCAUCCUCACUAAUAUGUGAUCCACUUCUACUUCUAUUUAGGCUGGUAGAACCAAGCCAACAUCGGAUAACAUGGGAUUCUUUUACACAAGUUUUGAUAUCCAAAGUUGAUGUAACAAUCACCUUCUUAUGUUCUUAAAAAAAAGAAGAAAAGAUCCUUAACAAAUACAAGGGGCACCACUAAGUUAACCUAUCGAUUUCUUCGGAUAACAUGGUGCUAGCCUAGUAUGUUGUGAAUCACAACAAUUUUUUCAUGUCAUGUUGACAUGAGGAACUGAUGAGGCAACUGAGAGGCACCCAAUUUCAAAACUCUUGGAUCUUUUAACCUAAGCCUAGAAGUCAUCUAAUGACCAAAUAGGUUUAGUUGAGAUUUCUGCAUGGCCCCUACCACCAGAAAGGGAACUCAAAACGCUUCAUUCUCCUAAUUACUUAACAAUGAUUUGGAGGUAGGUGGAAUUGUGGAAGAGAAGGGGUGUCCUUUGCAUUAUACUAAUCUUUUUUACUGAAAAUUUACAGAAAGAAUCCCUGUGCUAGCUAUAGGAUUUUCCAAAGCGCAAGAGCAAGAUCCCACCAUUGUGAGGUCGCCAUCAACGCCGAGCCGGUUUGGAAGCCAGCAACCCAUUCUCCAGUCAUAGCUUCCCAAACCAAUUAUUUGAGCAGAAACUUUUUUCUUAAUCAUAAAUUCACCUUCUUCAAGGUUUCUAAUAAGUGAUAUAUCCACAAAUAAUGGAUCUAAUACCAUUAUAAUAUAAAAUAGAAAGCCCUGCCCUUAUUUAGUAAGCAUGAUUCAGCAAAAACAGAAAAAAAUUGCAGGAAUAAAAGUGAUAGUUUUAAUAUCCAGUAUUAACCAAUUCAGUGGGGGGUAGAACAGUUAGAAAUGCUCAGUUCAAGCAAUGCUUCUAAGUACCUUUUCAAAGAGUGCAUGACCGAAUGGACAAGCUCAAACCAACCUCAUUUUUCGGAUCCAAUCCAGAAAUUUUCUGGAGAUGUAUAAAGUAAAGAAAUUUAAAUGUAACUAAACUUAUAUAGGUAGAAAGGUUCUUUGUUCAUUCAAACGUACGAAUAGGAUGAGAAUAAUACAAGAGAAAAAAACUGUAUUUUAUCGAAAUAAGAGAGAGCGAGAGAGCAUUUGCAUGUGACUUCCAAAAAAUUUAGUCUCCUAUGCAUUUGCUUAUAUAAGAUCUUUGUAUUAUUAUUAUAUCAUCCAUUUCCUCUUCAAGGAUCACUGCCUUAUUUUAUUGAUGCUGUUGGAGUGAUUUUAGGGAUGACAUGAUAAGCCAUAUCAACCCAUAAUAUUUUUUUUAUUAGCAUGAUCAUAUAUUAACUUGUAUUAUUUUUCUUUAUUAGUAUGAUAUUGUGAGAGUGAUCGUAGAGAUCACAUAAGAACUCAUAACGGGCAAUAAAAUUUUACUUGUAAGCAUGGUGCUAUAUCGGCCUAUAUUAUUUUUCUUAUAUGGACUCUGUAUGUUAGUAUAUAUAACAUGUGAGAAGAGAUGAGGAAGAAACUAAUACAAAAUUCUCCAAGCGUUUCAAAGAUUGGGAUAGAAAAAAACACCAAAUCAUCACCUGGUUUCGUAAUACCUCUAUCCCUUUGAUCCAUCUCCAGUUUGGUCGUUUCGAAACAACGAGAUAUCUAGGAUCUGCUAGCAAAAAGUUAUACCACUACUACUCUAGCUCAUCAAUAUCAAAUUUGGUCUGCACUUCAUCAUACAAAACAGGAGCCUGGACAAUCUGUCAUGAUUUUCCUGCCUAAAUGCAAUCUUUAUGGGACCAGUUGGCACCCUCGAAAUACGUUGUUCACCAUGAUCAGCUGCCACUUAUUUAUUUUCUUAUGACACACAGUUAUGAGUAUGAGGGGGUCCAUUUCUACAAUCCUGCAUCACAGUCCUCUGCCUAUAUUAGACAAUACAGUUCACGAGUUGAUAUCUGAGGAGACCAGACUCAGUAUUUUGCAAGCAAAACAUACUGAUGCUGUUCUUGUCACUACUUGUGCUCGGUAACAUGGAAAUUUUGGGCGAAAAUUCUGCAGAAACUGUAAUAAGAGAGGUCAUUCUCUACCACAUCGUCCGCCAUUGAAUGUUGGUACUAUCAUAAGCUUGGUCGUAUCCUUCCGAGAUGUCCCACCAAAGCUUCGAAGUCCGGUCAGAGCAAAGAACAAUAUUAUGAGCUAAUAUGGAUUGUUAUGUUUCAUGAGUGCACCAAACAUAUUGAGAAUUGUCAUUUUAUAUACUAACAUAUUGUUCGAGGCACAGUUCACUUAAUCUCUUUCUGCUCCUCUUAUUAAACUGCUGAUAUCUUCACUAAAGUUCAUUUUUCUGACUGCUUUCAUUCGUUGUUUUCAAAUUCAAGCUGGCACUUACAUUACCACCUUGAGUUUGAAGGGGGUAAUAUGGAAAUUUUGGGCAAAAUUUCUGCAGAAACUGUAAUAAGAGAGGUCAUUCUUUACCACAUUGUCCUGCCAUUGAAUGUUGGUCCUGUCAUAAGCUUGGUCGUAUCCUUCCGAGAUGUCCCACCAAAGCUUCGAAGUCCGGUCGGAGCAAAGAACAAUAUUAUAGGCUAAUAUAGAUUGUUAUGUUUUAUGAGUGCAUCAAACAUAUUGAGAAAAAUUAUCAAUUUAUACACUAACAUGUUGUUCGAGGCACAGUUCACUUAAUCUCUUUCUGCUCCUCUUAUUAAACUGCUGAUAUCUUCAUUGAGGCUCAUUUUCCUGACUGCUUUCAUUUCUUGCUUUCAAACUCGAGCUGGCGCUUGCAUUACCACCUUGAGUUUGAAGGGGGUAACAUGGAAAUUUUGGGCGAAAAUUCUGCAGAAACUGUAAUAAGAGAGGCCAUUCCAUACCACAUUGCCCUGCCAAUGAAUGUUGGUACUGUCACAAGCUUGGUCAUAUCCUUCCGAGAUGUCCCACCAAAGCUUCGAACUCCGGUCAGAGCAAACAACAAUAUUAUGGGCUAAUAUAGAUCGUUAUAAUUCAUGAGUACACCAAACAUAUUGAGAAUAAUUAUCAAUUUAUACACUAACAUGUCCUUCGAGGCACAGUUCACUUAAUCUCUUUCUGCUCCUCUUAUUAAACUGCUGAUAUCUUCACUAAGGCUCAUUCUCCUGACUGCUUUCAUGCCUUGGUUUUUAAACUCAAGCUGGCGCUUGCAUUACCACCUUGAGUUUGAAAGAGGUAUAACAGCUCAUAUAAGCUCAUAAUAUUUUUCUUUAUCAAUGUAAUCUUGUAUCAACUUAUAUUAUUUUUGUUUGCUAUCUUGAUUUUAUUGGAGUAAUUUUAGAGAUCACAUAACAACCUCUAUCAGUCUAUAAUAUUUUCACUGUUAAUAUAAUUCUCUAUCAACCUAUAUUAUGUUCAUUGUAUAGAACUGAACACUAAUAUAUAUGACCAAAUAUGAUUCUCAUUUCUUCUAGCAAAUGCUGCUACUAAUAUUCUAAAGACAAUGAUUUGAGGCCGGAAGAUUUUUGAAACACAAUGUUGCAAACUUUGAGGGUAGACCUUCGCCCCGUUGUAAGGUUUCUGCAUCGUGACCUAGAGAUCAUGGGCACUGAAUCAGUCCAUCCACAUGUGAAAAUAAAACUGAGUAAAUCCAAACCCAAGCUGAACAUUAUUUCCCACUAUAGGUACUAGUUGGUUGGCCUGUCAUCUCAUGACAGAGCCAGGAGAUCCAACAGAUGAAAGAGUCAGGAUAAACAAGAACCUCAUCGCAGUACCACUCCAAUGCAAACCAAUAAAGCGUGCUGCAUUUGGGAAAGCCAACAAAUCCUGCAAGGCGCUGGCACAGCACUCAAUUCACGAGGAAGAGGAAGCAUUCACGAGCUCAAAAAUCUUGAGAGGUUCACGCCAAGGAUUUUCAUGCAGUGGUCGCGACAAAGCGCAGGCGCAAGGCACAGGCAGCUCAGACAGUCUCCGAGACAUGGAUUCAUGCUGGUGUUACCCAGUUAGGUGGAUUCCAUGGCCAGAUACGUACUGAAAUGUCUCCAGACUCCUGAAAUCAACUAGAGAAAAAACAAAGAAAUGGUACUGCACACAUGAAUGCUAGCAGCAAACAAAUAGUAACUGAAACAUCCAGAGUCCACAAUCAUUUAUCCAACAAUUCAUGCAAGAUUAGGUCAGAACCAUCAUGUAAUUAUGUGACACAAACCAUCAUGCAAUUAUGUUGAAGGAUUCAGAAAACAUUAUAGGAAGGAGAACUAAGCUUUACCGAAAUUAUUCAGUGUCACAUCACGGCUGGUUAUUGUAAUUAUCCGCAGCAAUUUUAGCAACUAAGCAUUGCAGUUAAAUAUCAAACUUCACACAUAUCAGUAGUUAGCAUAUUGCUCGAAAAUUUAAAUGUUCAUAAGAGUACAAAGUUGGCAAUGCACUAAUCAGAGGAAAUAAAAGACCCUCGCAUACAUAACUACACCUGACAAGCAAAGCUUUCACCGUGGUCCUCACUAAAACAUGUUAUAGAAGAUUAAAAAAUAUAGUUCCAUUCAUUUCCUUUAUUGACAGUAAAACCUCAAACACUCUAGCUACUUUGCAGCAGUUAAAUCGGCGAAGGCAUCAUAUCCUUAUCCAAGCUCCAUGUAGUGCUGUUUGAACCCAACCAUGUACUCAUCACUUAAAGAAAUGAUUUGAGUCAAACAAAAUGAAUACUUGAAGUGGACGACAAAGAAAGAAAGAAAUCAGUACCUCCACAUUAUCUCAAAGCACCUUACACCGUCCAGACGCAAGGUGGUGUGUCAGAUCUCGGCCCAGCAACUGUCCGGUAGACAUAGAGCUUCUCAACAGGGCAAUCAUCGGGCCGUGAAUCCCACGACCCUCCGCUCCACUCAUCGAUAACCUCCACAUUAAGCCAUGGCAUCUUCUCAGCCAGCAACCUGCAUGCUCCUAAGCUCACAGAGCAUGAUGACAUCCAAAGGGAUCGCAUUGUCACUAGCUUAGCAGCAUUGGCCAACAAUGCCUUGUCUCCAAAGGGGCAGUCCCUGAUUUCCAGCUUCCGUAAGCUCUUGCAGCCUGAGAGAAUGUAAUGGAGACCAGCAUCACUAUUCCCAGCAAAGGCAACCGAGAGCAUCUCAAGGCAAUUUGCAGAGGCCCCAAUGGAUCUAAACACAUCGUCGGUGAGGAGACCCGAGAGGGAGAGUCGCCUGAGAUCCAUGCAAGAUUCUACAAUGGCGCUAAAGCCCGCAUCUAGUGGCUCUAGAGUGAUAUAGUCCGGUGUCUGUGGCUCCAUGAUGCAUAGACGGAAGCAUGUAAGAUUGGGACGGUUCUUGGCAACCGUGAAGAGAGCAGCAUUGGUCAUUUGCCGGCAGAAGUAGAGGACCGACUGGAGCAUUGGGCAUCCCGCAGAGACACUGACAAGGCCACGCUCAGUGAGAGAAACAGGCUGCGCUGCACCAUAAGGAUCAGAAGGGAAGACACGCAAUUCUUGAAGCCGCUUACAAGAUGAUGCCACAGCAGCUAGGCCAUUAUCCUCAAUCAAAUCCAUUACCUAACAGUUGAUGUUCUUUCAUAAUUAGUGUAUAUAAAAAUCAAACAGAGAUCAACAAGGACAAACAGAUAAACAGAAUAUGUGAAACUAAAAGGCCAUGAUCAGAACUUUGCCUGAAGUUCUAGGCUAAUCAGCAUCCAAAUGAUAUGGUUUUGGCAACCAUAUUCAAAAGCAAUGACAAAAACGAAAGAAAUAAAAAUUGGCAAUCCUAGGGCACCAGCAAAAUUUAACUCUGGUUAAGUGGAAAUGACAGGUCAGCUUUGUGAAUAUUAAGGCAGGGAAUCAUUUCGCAAUAUAGAAGGAACAGGAACUGAUGCAGAUUUACCCAUAGUCGUUCGAGAUUCUUGCACCCGCUGACUAGUUUGAUGAGGUCAGGGCUCUGAAUGGUAGCAUAACUUAAAUUCAGAGAUGUGAGGCCAUCACAGACUGAGUAGAUUGCUGGGAGAUAUGCUGGAACAGCUUCCCAGAUCCCAGAUAGGCUCCUCAUGCUUUUACAGCCCGCAAAGGCUGAUUCGAGCUUAGAGAAGAGCUCUGGAUGAUAUUCUGCGGAGAACCUGCCAGUUCCAAGGUCAGCCAGCUGGGGGGCCCUGCGCAGGAGGCUGACAAGCCUAUCAAGAGGCACAGCAUGGUUGAGCUUGAGGGUCUUGAGGUUGGUGCAUCUGCUCAUGAGGCGCUCGAGGACAGAGACAUGUACCUCCCCUUCCAAGCAAGCAAUGUUCAAAUUUACCAAAGAAGUGAAGGAAUCAGGAAAAUGGCUGAGCCAGUGCACACAAUUAUCCUCUACUUCAUUUUCCUGUAAGUCUAGCUCCCUCAGAUUUCUGCAAUAAUGAGCAUAAUCCAUGAAAAUAUUCAGGAGAAUCUUUAUUUAUCACCAGAAGUUGAUAGUUCUAAGUUCCAACAAAUGAAUUGAUAAAAAAUUAUGUUUCAUAUGCAAGAAUUAUUUUCAAAAAAAAAUAAAAAAUUAAGCUAGUGAUAAAUAUUUAUGUUGAAGUGGCAAUCAGAAACUACAUAGUUUUUGAUGAUCAAUACAGGGUAGACAAACAUAACGGACUGAUUGAACCUAAUUUAAUGUCAAGACAUAGCAAGAGAUGAGUUACAAGAGACAGCUGCUAUUUCACAAGAAAAGGAAUGAAAAUAUAAUGUUUAAGCACCUAAUGUUUUUUAGCAUAGAAACCAUUAAAGAUGUUGGGGGCGACUAGUAUUUUAUUUCUAAUAUUGCAAGAAGAUUGCCCUUUCCUGUUAGACAUCAAGUUUAAUAGUCUAAUACAUGCACUCACUUCAAGCACUGCACCAGUGCCUAUGGACUACAUCAUUUCUUGGGCUAUCAUACAUGACCUACCGAGAACAUGUUUGCUUAUUGCAGUAAGUAUCCAGAGCCGUGCACUAUAGCAAAACAGCUUCCUAUCAAUGCAGAGCACAGUUAAUAGGUGCAAGACAACAGGAUUAUGAUAUAUACCAUAAUCUGAAUAAUUCUAGGCAUUUCUAUAUACAACCAGCCAGCCAAGCCAUACGAUCAUCAGAAAAACUGAAAAAAAAAGUCACAUAUUUUAUGUAAAUUCUGUCCUUGCAGUAUGAAUAGAACUCUUUUAUAUUUCCGAUAUUACACUUACUACGAAAAUUUUCUUUUAUGGAAAUCUAUAAUUUCAGCUCAUUAGCUACCAAAGAUCUUUUGCAUUCCGCUAAUGUGUCAUUUUUUUAAAGAGAAUUCAAUCACCACUUAGUGGACUGAGAAUAUUUCCUAUCAGAUACAUUCAUAAUUUCCAACCUUUUUCUUGCAUAACUAAAGGGAGGAAAUGUAUGCACAGAAUUCAAGAAACAGUGAUCAAGGAUUUUAUAAAUUUGUUUAUUUGGUGGAAAGAAAAAGAACGACACAGACAGAAUUCCGGCAUAAGCCUAUAAGAUAUACAUCAGCUACGGGGCUUCCCUUGGUCCCUCUUCAUUUCAUUUUGAAUCAAAUGAAUCAGAACCAGGUAACAAAGAUCUGAAGGAGGAAUAGAAUCUCAAAAUGAGCGCCGACCAGAGAGGAUCGAUUUCCGCAAUGUAUUAAAAAUUGCACCUUUAUCCAGUUUAAGCACCAGAGGGGGAUCGCCACUUCAACCUUGGAUGUAAGUUUGAGACAAGAGUGAACGCAAUCCAGUCAACAAAACCAAAUUUUCAUUUCACCAAAGAGAUUUUUAGCAAAAAUUUCAAGUCAAAACCAGCCCUUUAAAUUUAGAGUUUCUUUUUCUGUCUCCCUUAAAUAAACGGCCCAAAAUGGAUCAUCUUCAAAAAAAUAAGCUUAAAUUCAUCCGACUACCGAAACCAUUGCGGAUCCGUACGAGCUUUUAUUACUCCAACAAAUGUUCCUUCAGCGUCCCAGUUUUGUUCCUAACCCUGGCAUCUAAACUCACUUCAAAAAUCAAAUUUUUAAGACAAAAUGACAAAAAUCACACAAAUAUUUGAGUCCACAUGAUCCUGGGACUUCUAUCUAAAUCACCUCCGAAUCAUCCCAACAAGAUCACCCUAAACUCCCCAGCAAGAUCACCCUAAAGUCCACAAAUUUAGAGUUGCAGACAUUCGAAAACGAGAAAUUUCUUCGGAUUUAUUCCAAAAAAAAAACCCUGUUUUGCUUAGAUCACCGACAACUCAGCCAAAAACCCGCUCCAAGGGUAAAAAGAGUUGAAAUCAAGACUAAGAAUUGGGAAAAGAACGCAGAGGGGGAGAGAGGCUGACCUACAAUUGGCGGCGAUGGCGGCGAGGCCGGCGGUGCUGAACCCCUCGCAGGAGGAGAGCGCGAGGACUCUAAAGUUCUUGAACGAUCGGGCAAUGAGCUCGAGGCAGUCGUCGGUGACGACCAUCCGCUUGAGGCGGAGCUCCUCGAGCUGCGGCCACCCUUCCGCCAUGGCGGCCACCCAAGCCUCGGCCCCCCCGCCCCAGUCGCUGGGGACGAGGUUGAAGUCGGCGAAGUGGGGCUUGCCCUUGAUGGAGACAGCCCGGACCUCGGGGAAGCGGCGGACGGCGGCGGCGGGGGCGAUGGCGUAGCAGUUGCCGACGAAGAUCCGGCGGCGCGAGCGGCGCUCGAUACGGUACCACCCCCCGCAGACGAGGGAGACGGCGUUGCGGUCGCGGUCGGCCGCGAGGAAGGAGAAGAUGUGCUCCCAGACCUCGUCCGGGAACAAGGCGGCCCACCGCCCGCCGGCGGGCAUAGUCGUCCGUCGGAUCGGCGGCUCCGGGGCUUAUCGGACGGUGGAGAGGCCGGGAUCGCUCGACAAGGAGGAGGAGGAGACAGAGGAGGCCAUCAUCAUCACCACCAUCACAAGAAGAGGGGUGGGGCGCAGCCAUCUCUCCUUUUCUUACUGCCUUGAGGCGCGCGUGGAUCACGAGAUGGACGGAUGCUAAUUUGACACGUGGUUCAUGGAGCCAUUCUGGCCGUUGGAUGGGCUUGUCGUUCUUAUCCACCGGUGGCGACGACCCGGAACCGCGGGGAGCGUAUCUAUGCACGUACGAAUGGUCGGGAACGAGGGAGAAAUGGCAGGGUGAUUCGGGAAACGAAAAAAUGCAGAGCAUCGAAAACGCAAGUUGCUGCUUUAAUACCUUUUUAGUUUCCCAGUUCUCCAAGCAUCGCAUACUAGAUCACCCCUUGGGUGACGUAGAAGAUGAUAAUUACCAAAAAAAUAAGUGUGAUGGCAAGAUCAAUAUAUAUAGUAUAAAUUUAAAAAAUACACUUUUAGUAUAAUAUUUUUACUUUUUGGUAGUGUUCAUAUAAGAUAGAGUAUUUAUUAUGAGAAAAUAUGUAAAUAAUAGAUUAAAAAAAAGGAAAGUAUAAGUAAAUUCUUUAGAACUACAUGUAGAUGAUCAAAAUUGUAUGUUGGAGCCCCAACCUCAUGUGUUUAUAUCGUAUACAUAUAAUUAUAACAAACAAAUUAUUUAUCGACCAUGCACAAAGAUCCAAUUUAUGUUUUAGUUUUCAUAUAAAUAGCUCAAAGAAAAAUAGUUAUUUUUUUUAAAUAAAAUAAAAUAACUUUUUCAUGUUUCUCAUGAAAAAUAUUUUCUCAUGAAACGUAGGAAUCAAAUUUCCCUGGGAAUACAACUUUUCCGUCUCUCUUCUUUGAAAAUUUCAACCAAACAAGAGGUAUUUCAUUACUUUUUUGUUGACCACAUUUUUUUUCCUUUCUUUUUCCGCGAACUAAACGAGCCCUUUGAGGACUAAAAGAUACUUUAUAGUGACUAAAAUACUCUCACAAAAUAAGUUAUUAACACACAAAAAAAAAUCACCAAACACCAUGAACAGAAACGGCGUUUUAAUUGGCUUUUUUUGGACAACUACAUCGUGGUAGUUAUUUUACUACUGUUACAAUAAAAUAACAGUUGUAGACCGAAUCGCCGGAAACGGCAGUAAGCAUGGGAAUCGCGGUUCUGGAAAUCCUCCAUGGGCAUGCGCGUAGGAGACAGCGGGAGUCUCUGGAGGGAGGGGAUGCGGCCUCGGAAUCGCGCAAGGAUUGGACGGUGGAGAUGAGGUGAGGAAUCGUUGGACCAUGGGGUGGGGUGGUCCUGGUGACCUUCGGAGUUUGGAGCGGUGGAUCACGUGACAAGGGGUGGAUGGUCCCUGCAAGCUUUUUGUGGGGGCACGGCGACAGCAAAAGGCCCCUAAACUUUUUACCCUCUAUUUUAUCUCCAAAUUUGUUGUUAUGUUGUUGGAACUAGGACUUUGUUUAAUACUCCACCGUUAGUUUACCCUUUCUUGACCAAAUAACAAUCAAUGCAUUCAACACAAUAGCCCCCAAUAAAUUCAAGAUUUUACAUGUAAGAUGCAUAUCAAAUUUUUUCCCUCAAAAUAAAAAAAGCAAUUAAUUAUCACCGUUAGGGCAGCCGAUCAUUUGGGUUGGUUUUGAGCUGAACCUAAUACUGUAGCUCAUUCGCUUAAUAUGAUCGGAUAGACCGGAUUUCUUUUCGUAUCAAUUAUGUGUCUAGUUGGUUUAAAUUUAGAGUUCAAAUCCUCUUCAGAUCGUCUCUAUCUGGUCCAGCCGUUCAGAAUUUUUGAUACUUGUUUAGAAAUAUAAAACAAGUAAUAGAUUCUCAAUUUUCGAUCUGAAUUAUGGAUCUGUUUGCUCAAACCAAUCCAUUUUGCUUUGUUAUCUUAAGUACCGAAAAUUACGAAGCUAUUCAGAAUCUAGUGUUCUUAUACCAGUUGGAUCACAUAAGAUUAAGAUGCAAAUUUUGCAUUGAGUUUGUUUAUAAUAUUUAUACGUUUAAGUCGCUACAAGCAAGAAGAAGGCUCGCAAGUUGCAAAUUACAGUGCCAUGGUCAUUGUUAGUUUUAUUACGGGCCCACUCAUCGGAUGAUGCGUUCGUGUGGUACGAAUGGAGAGCAGGGUCUUAGCGUGGUGACGAGGUGACGCGUCUGAUGGGUCACUCACACGCGUACCGACGGUUACCGUACACCAAAACAGUAAGCUUGGCAAGGUAUCGCUUACGAGGAUCCCGUCACCGGCAGCCAAGGAAUGGGAGGCAGCUUUAAAAGCCAACAGCGGAAGCAGAGGAGGCAGAUGAUUUUUUUUAAAAGAAAAAAAAAUGACUGACGAGAGGCAGCAGCCACUGUCCGAUCUGAUUGACCGAAUUAUUUGACGGUUGAAAUUUCCUGAAUGCCCUUCUGUGACGUCACCACCUCCGCAGCCUUUUCCACCGAACAAACUUUUCCCCUUUGCCCAUUUUGUGAUGACCCAAAUGCCCCCAGGGUGGAGGAUGGAAAUCAAACGAUGCAAAGAGUUUAGGAUGACGGCCGUCACUAACGUUUUUUUUUUUUUUUUUGUAAACGGGGAAGGACCUUACCUAUAUAGCAACCUCUACUGGGCCUUCUCUCUGUCGGAGAAUAUUCGAUGUGGGUAGAAUAUUUUUUACUCAUAUUCUCCUCAUCCAUGGCAGAGCACCACCAGUGUGGCAGCCCUAUCUCCGUGUGAGUACAUCAUACCAACACCACAUAAAUAAUAGUAGACCAGAUAGCGACUCCACCAGACAAAUCAGGUGGGGAGUAUUCGGUCUUCGCAUUUAAUCGAUGCGCACGCGUUUCGAACCUGAGCCACUCCGGUGAAAUCAAAAUUCCGUGUCACCAUCUCGGUGGUACAACGGCUUUUGAUUUAUGUAAAAUAAAGUUUAAGUAUUAUAUAAUGUUAGUUUUCGUACUUUAGAGGUUGUCAUAGCUAGAACAGCUGCUAUUAUGUUUCUAUAGUAAGAAAUGUUAUUGAAAUUUUUGUUGACUAGAGAAAAAUAUAUAUUAGAAAGUAGACUCUUGAGGAGAUAUAUACGCCAUCGGCUAAAAUGACAAGGUGUUUUAUCCAUCUAGGGGUGGAACACGCAUGAGCGAACUGGGUGCCAUUCAAAUUUUAUCAAAAGUUUAAAAGGUUAGCUUGGGCUUUGUUUAAGCUCGAGUUGAGCUAGAACAGCCCAACUCGAGCUCGGCUUGUAUAAGCUUGUACUAGUUUGAGCUUGGCUUGCUUGAGCUUGAAAAGCAAAGCUUUGCUUGUCUUUUGCUUAGUAAAUGGUUAAGAGAAAGAGAGAUUUCCAGCUAUAUGAUUUUGUCAUUGGAUUGAAACUUAAUUGUUACUAAAAAUAUCUAAAAUUCAAGCUAUAUUGAGUUGAAAUUAAACAAGCCGAUUCUUGCUUGCACUUAGCUCGUUUCUAUUUCAAGCUUAAACACUCAACACGAGCUUGGCUUUUUUAAUUAAACAAGUGACCUAUUUUAGAGCCUAUUUUCGAGUUGAACAUAAACUAGCUUAUGAAUAGCUUGCUCGUUUUCCGGCCCUACAUCCAUCAACAUCUUGGAGGUCAAUUUUGGUACAUUUGUCAAGCAUGGUAGUAACAAUUAUGAAGUCUAACUUUUUCAUUUUGCAAUCAAUAGAAGAGUGCACCCCAAGUUAUUUAUGAGCAGAUAUAAUUUUCAUUUUCAUGACAAAGUUAUAAGCCAUAUGAGAGGGCCUCUUGAAUAUUAUUUUAUACUUUCGUUGUGAUAGUGAAUUAGUUUGAAUUGCAUUCUGCCAAUAUUUCAACUACUAACCUAUGCUUGUAGGUCCUUGAAAUGUAACUUUACUAUUUCAACCUUUUUUUCUUACCCUACUAAUAUAUUCAUUCCAAGAAUGAAGCAACAUAUAGUCAAUGAUAGAUUUUAAGAUAUCCCUAGCAAUCUAUGUGCUGGAAAAAGAUUUUCUCCAAUUUAGACCGACCAGUCUUGUUGCAUUCAUGAAAGGAUAGCCUAACGUGUCUUUUUUUUUCUUUUCUUCUUUUCUUUAAAAAACAUUUGCCAUUACUUUGCAGUAUCUAAAGGUUUAAGAUGAUGACCAUUAUCUCGUAUCUUUUUUUUCUUUAAUAACUGUUAUUAUACUAUAUAAAAAAAUAUUUUUUUAUCUGUUAUAUUUUCAAAUGAAUUUAUUCCAGACAAUUUUAGGCAAAUAAUAGUAAUUAUUUUCGAGGGCAAUAGGGUGCACCCGAGUCUAGUAGCUGAGAGAGCACUUCUUUAUGCGGAGAAGAUCAUCUGCGGUGCUCCGUCGGCAUCCCUGGGGUUAACCGGGAAAAUCUGGGGUUCCCCUACUGCUCAUGUAGCAUCUACGACUGUUUAGGUCUCAUAGGAACUCCCACCUCCUAGCUUUCUCAAGAUGAACUUCGAUGACAGCGUUAGCGAUGAUGGCUGCAUUGGAGGUGUGGAUUUUGUUAUUAGAGACCACGAUGCUCGUCUGAUUGUGGUAGGAGCCGGUAGAUCUUUCACGCAUUUGUAAUCAGCGCGGAGCUCAGGGUUGCGCGUUGAUUGCGUGGAUUCGAGACAUGGAGCUCGACAUCAAGUCGGGACUGCUAAUCCAUGAUGUUCGUUGACUCGUGGGCGUGGAUGGCCUGUCAUGAGCCAGACAUGUCUAUAGGGAGGUGAAUAGCGCGGCUAGUUGGGUUGCCUCAUUUGCGACCCACCACUCAGGAGCCUUCAUUUGGGAGGGCUAGGUGCCUGUGCCCCAGCCACUGAGCUAUCCUGUGCCCCAGCCACUGAGUUAUCUCUUGUUUUCUGAUGCUAUUGCCAUUGCAACCAAAAAAAAAAAACAAAUUAUUUCGAUGACAAUGAAUUGGCAGCGUGUGAAGGGUUCCGUGACACGUGUAGUGGAAUGAUACCAGAUUGGAAAGGACAUUUCGGUAAAUAAGCGAAGGCCGGGGGGCAUUGGUUGCAGAAUGGGAGGCCACGGGAGUUGGCCUUUCUCCGUUUCUCGAGGCCUCGGAUGCAGAUGGACGGCUGGGAUUGGUCAGUGGACUGAGACGAGAUCUCGACCGUUAGGAGGGAAGCUUAGCUUUGCGAGAGGACUAGAACUAUUAAUUUAUUUUAUAAUAAAAAUUUAUUUAAUAGAGCUCAUGUAUCGAUGGAAACUUGAGUUACUUUGAAGGGAAGGUAGGAGAGGAAAAAUCAUCAUACUUUAUCUAGUAGUAACUUUUGAUAUAAAUAAAUUUAUAUAAAUAUUUUUAAAAAAUAUUUAAUAGUAAUAAUAAAAAUAAAAAAGCUCAUAUACUUCACUUUUUAUAUAACAUAUUUAUAGGUAUCAUAUUUUCAUUGUUGUAUUUGGACAUUUUCCAACUGUAUUGUGGGAGAAGGAAUAGAAAAAUGGUGCUACACCACCAUAGCUGAUUUUGAUUAUAACAGAAUAUUCUCAUAAGAUGAGUUUUAAUUUUUAGUACAAAAAUAGUUCAAUAUGCAUAUGAUGAAAUCUUAUUACAAGGAAGAUUCUAGCGAGUAUAUAUGAGGGCUGGUUCAUCUGAUUGGGAUCUGGGUUCUGAUUCAUAAUUUGCUGUUCAUUCUUUUUAAUAAAUUAGACUUGAUUGAACAAAUAUUUUUCUAUUUUGCAAUAUAUGGAAGAACGGAGAUGUAAAACGUACAUGCUUUGGACUAUGCCUAAGAUGGUUAAUGACAUUGAUUACUUAUUUUAGUCUCAACUCUUAAACAACUCGAAGCAUAAAAUUCCAACCUUCGGGAUGCAUUUGGUUACAUAAUAAAUUUUAAUAAAAUAAAAAAUAAAAUAAGUUUGGAUAGAUAAGAUUUGUUAAGCAUCACGUCAUGAUGCCUAAAUAGUCCAUCCAAAAUUGUAAGAAAUUGGUCUAAAGUGCAGAAAACUUUGGUGAUUUUGAAGUACCAAGCACCCCUCUUGAACCAAAAACCAAGUCCCCCAUCCACAUUUAAAAAAAAUAAAAAAAGAGUGUAGAUUUAGUGAUGCAUGUAUGCACAUAGAUACCUGCACAAUUGAUGGCUCAUGGACAAUAAUACCACUCAUACAAUUUUCAACUGCUGUAUAAAAAUAAUUGAUCAAUGAAGUAUUUGUUAAAAAAAGAAAAGGAUAUGUGCACCAUUUUUUAUUACACAUCCAGUGUGUGACCCACAUUUACAUAAAAUGAUUGCUGAUGACACUGAAAUGUCUCUAUCAUCCUAGUAGCCUUAUACCAUGACAUACAUCUGGUACUUCUGCACUGACUUGACCAAUCAUAGUACAUGGUUAAAUUGACCUCCACAGUAGAUGACUGUGCUGACCUUCAUGCUGGAGAUAUGGUGCACUCAGAGCAUCAGCAUAUGAUCAUAAACUGAAUCUCUCAUCAUCAUCAUCACACAUGAGUUUGAAAUUCUUAGCCAUUUGGCCUUCUAGCAACCCAGUAUUUUGUACAAAAAACCAAUAACCUAUGUUUUGCAUGGUAAAUAAAAAUCAUUGCAUGGAAGUAAUUUUGUUCCUCAAGCAUCUGACUAGCUAAGAUUCGAUAAUUGCCAUGCGAUUUCGGAAAGUUAGCUACAAGUUAAUGUAGCAUUGAUCAUACGCAAAGGUAAUUUUAUCUUAUGAGUGGCUAAUUAGUUCAAAUGAUCGAUUAUUCUUAAAAGAGGUAGAGAAAAAUUAAUUUACAAAAAACUAAGAAUGAUACAUCAUGGAGUGACUAUACAUCCCUUGCCGUUAUUUUUUCCAUAGUUUGAUUUGAUAGCAAGGACUAAUUAGGCUUUGAGAUAUUAUAUAUUUUUACACUUUACUAACUUCUAUGCAUUAUUUCUAGGCAUAAUUUUAUUGCUUCAACAAACUUUAUUUUUUGGAAAAAGGACAUGUAGGUAAAAUAAUAUUUCAUUGGAAUAUGAAAAAAUAGGGUGGUAAACACUUAAACGGAAAAAAAAUGUAAUGCAUGCAGCAUUUUGAAUAAGCACUCACCCAUUCUGCUUAUUAUAUGUUGUAUAAACUAUAGUAAUUAUCUCUUGGAAACAUUUUUUGGGGAAAAAAAAAUCUCUCUUGUAGAGUGAUGCAGGACAACUGCAGGAAGAAGAGAAAAAGGGGAAGAAGAGGAGGAGAAGAAGAGGAGGGGGAAGAAGAGGACAAGGAGGCUAAUUUUCAUUUAACAUUCAUCAAAACUCUAAACAUGAGGAUAGACCCAUAUAUAUAGGGUCACAAAAUAAUAAAUAAAUCCCUAUAAAUAAAAUAAUUCCAAAAAGACCCUAAAAUGACAUUAUGCAAAUAAACCUAAAUGACAAUAUGCAAACAAACCCAAUCAACAUAAAAUUAAUCCAACUAAAAUAAAUCAAUCUAAAAUAAAAUCAGGCUGGCUGAAUCGGCUGGGACCCGCUGAGCUGGCUGGAUCCUGUGGCGACCGGCUGAUCUGGCAUUGGUGUCUGCACCAACUCUUUCCGGCUGGAAAGAAGUCGACCUCGACGAAAGCGGCUCGGUAAAACCCCGGUAAUACUCGAACAAGUUCGGGUCAAUUGGCGGUCUCUCCUCGUGCUGGAUCCAAGUGUAACCGGACUUUGGUCGUCCACGCCAACGAACCAGAAAAUGUUGGAUGCCUCCAUCACUGUCAAAAACUAUUUGCUCGGCUAAAAUAGAAUCAAUAUACUCUUUUUGUCCUCGAUGGAGGAGAAAAGGAAACGAAGAUGGCAUGGAAUCAAUAAUAGGAUAAACAUCGGGCGCAGGAGAGUGUGCAACAAAAAAGUCAAUAGGGAUUGCAACGAAAUCUUUAAUAUUAAGAGUAAACCUAUGACCAAAAUCAAAUGAAAAGUCAAUGAUAUAGGCGUCAGUGCCAUCCUUGUGCAACACCCUGAAUGGUCCAAUACUAAGAGACUGCAAUUCCUUAAGAUGGAUCAUUACAUAACCCCAAGUUUGAAAUUCUUUAGCAUAGAAAUCAGCUUGAAUCUUAUAUUGAGUAGUACAUACAAAAAUGCCCUUAUGGAUUUCGUGAUGCAACUUAUGAAUGUGUUGUAUAAAUGCAUAUGCAAACUCAGAAAUCCUAACAUCAGUUUCGAUGGGUUGUGCGAGGGCAUAUCCAACUAGACUCAUGGUGGACUGGUUAGACUCGCUAUUUAACUGUGCAAGCGAGCUAGGUGUAGUGUGGGUGCAUCUUAGGGUUUCGGUUUGUCUCACACUCUUCCUCAAUGUCCUGAAUAUCAUCGAAGUUUGGUUCAUAGAUUUGUUCCUCUAAGUCAUAUGCGUUACCUCCCAACUCUUGCUGAGCAAUAACGAAGGAUUUGUUAGCACAUUGGGAGACAACGUGAUCAAAACCUUGGCAUUUGUAACACCGAAUUUUGGAAUGUGGUUUGGGAGGCUCACCAAGAAUUUUCUUGUUGUCGGUGUCUUAGCGUGGGACAUGGGCAGUAGAAGGGGGCCUAGGAGUAGUAGACCCUACAGAAGGCUUGGGCCCUGAGGAAUUAGGGCCCGUGGAAGUGCUCCCUAUGUCAGGGCGCCUUACAAAUGUGGAUUUAGUGCUCCCUCGAUUAAGGAGAUCGUCUUGGUAGUUAUGGGGUAGCUAUUUUUCUUUAAGUCUCUCUUUCAUCUCUACCCAAUCAGUUAUUACAUAUUGAUAUCUCCUAGCUAACAGUUGUUCAGUAUUUUGCCAGAAAAGUUUAGCUCGACUAAUGAGCUUCAUUCUGGUAAACCGGACCUUCUUGUUGUCAGACAAAUUGUACCACUCAAAAAAAUGGUCCAUUUCGUGUAACCAAUCCGAGAAGACUUUCGGAUCAAGACGACCGUCAAAAGUAGGGGCUUCAACCUUAAUGCCUCUGAUUACAUCUUCAUCCGGGUCACGAGGUUCUCUAGGUUCUACGUUAUGUCGAUAACCUCUAUCAAUAUUAGGAAAAGGACUAGGUCUUCUAGGGCGAGGGUAGGCAUAAUGGUGACCUGGAACAUACCUAUUAUCAAAAUUGUCCUGCCGAACAGAGCUUUGUUGUUCUAGGAUUUGUUCUAGGGUGUCGUCCCCUUCAAGACCCGGUAAAUGGGAGGUACUAGCUUUCUUGGAUUCAAUGACCCUCUGAAGUGAAGCCUCAAUUGAAUCAAGUCGGGCAUUAACCUGGGUGGACAUUGUGGUUAGGUCAUGAAUUUGGGCAUUGUUGGCUUGGACUUGGGCAUUGGUGUUUUGGACUUGAGCAUUAGUAUUUUGGACUUGAGCAUUAGUGUCUUGGAUAGCUUUUAAUAGAGCUUCGAUUUUGGAAUCCAUGUCUAACUGGGACUCAGAAUGAGAUGCGACACGACCACUACGUAGAUGCAUAAAAUGAAUGAAGAUAUGUAUGAUCCCACCAAUUAUAGAGGUUCCUAAGUAGACCUAAUGCAUGAAAGUAGUUCGAAAUUACAAAGUAUAUGCUCAAUAUAAUCGCUAGCUGACUCUAGCAAUUGAAAUCAGCUUAAAAUUACAUAAUAAGUCCAGGCAAGUUGUUGCAGUCAAAUAGUACUAGUUUUCAGUGUGUUGUAGGCCUGCACAGAGCCUCAAAGAAUUUCCAAAGAUUAGGUAGCCCUACAAUUAAUAGCAAAGAUAGGCCACUACUAGGAUUUUGGUGUUGUCUGGAGUGGGGGCAUUGAAUUUUUCAAAAAACAAUAUCAAUAGAGCACUUAAGAGUUAAUUGAUCCUAAAUUUAGAUAAACAAAUAGAAUUUUCAGUAAUAGAAAAAUCUGACCUGGGUUGGGCCACUACCAGAAGCGCUGCACAGCAAGUAGGCUCGUCAAACUGCUCCAAUCAGGGCUGAUCUCAGCAACUCGGCGGGCCUGAUCAAAGCAAUUUGGUAGGUUUGGUGAGGCGGACUGUUUGAAUAGAGGGUGGGGUUGUGGUGCAUGGGGGCGGACCUGAAAGGAGGGCCUGCGGAAGAGGGGCCGGGCGGCUGGGGUGUAGCUGGGCCCGAAAGGCUCGCGGGCUACAGGGCCCACCGAAGAGGGAAAAGAGGCGGGGAAAGGGGGGCCGAAACCCUCUGAUUUCGUAACAGAGAGGGGAAGACGUAAGGAGGUGAAGUGGGUUUGGAGCUUUUGGGGCGGGGGUGAUUGGAGAGGAUGAAGGGAGGGUGGGGUGCGGCGGAAGGGGAAGGGGUCUGCGAGGGGAUGGGGAGACGGUGAACUCAGUGGCGGCGCAGCGGUGGAGCUUGACGGUGGUAGAGUUGGCGAGACGAAGGAUGGUGGGUUUGAUGACAAUGGCCUGGCAAGAAGGGAAGGCCGUAUGGGGUUUGGUGGACUAGGCUGUGGGUGACUUGGGUCAGGGGACCGAAGAGUGGAGAAGUGGCAGGGCUCGGCGGCGGCGGAGCUUCACCAUGCGGCGGAGAGGGCGGGUCUGCGAGGGGGUGGCGGGACGAUGGCGGCCACAGAUGAAGGUGAAGCGGUGCUGCGGGGAGACGAAGGGGGCACGGUGGGCGUGGCGACGGUGGAGCGGCGCUGGCAGCACGGCGGACGCGGCGACGGAUGAAGAAGAUGACAGGUAUUUUCCUUUUUUUCUCUCUCUCUUUUUCCCCUUUUUUCUUUUUUUUCUCAACAAGCACGUGCAGUCACGUGCGCUCUUUUUUUUUUUAACCCGACCGGAUUCGGGUUAGCGGACGCACCCACUUCGGUAACCCGUUAAUGGCCCGGCUUCGUCGUGGAAGUUUGGGGGGAGGGAAAGGGUGCAGGUGGUUACCGGGUUUUGUGGCAACGUGCCGCGUGGGGCGCGGAGUCGUCCAGCGAGGUCCUGCGGCUGGCGAGUGGCAAUGAGGGUGGACACCAGCGCUCGGCUUCUCUCCUCAGAUCCGGAUGACGGGAGACGGCAACGAGGCUUUCCCCUUCUUUUCCUCAGAAGGCUUGGGAGUUCGGCUUCGGAAGAAGAAACGGGGAAUGGCAGCAGAGGAGAGGGAACAGGGAAUCUCCAGAAGACACCCAAAACAUUUUUUUUUAUUUUAUAAUUUCAAUGCUGCUUCCAUAUGAUGUCUGUUUCGCUCGGGACAGCCACUGUGGGAAACUUGGCCGCACUGCUUCAGAAGAAGGGAACGGGCUCUUUCUCGGCUGAGGAAGAAGUCUGAGCCCUCGCGUGAAACCAAUGCUACAGCAGCCAGAAAAUUUUGAAACGUGGCUCUGAUAACCUGGAUCGAGGCCUUGACAGCAGGGGCAAAGCCAGCCUGCUCUGAUACCAAAGCUGAUGCAGGACAACUGCAGGAAGAAGAGGAAAGGAGGAAGAAGAGGAGGGGGAAGAAGAAGAGGAGAAGAAGAGGAGGGGAAAGAAGAAGACAAGGAGGCUAAUUUUCAUCCAACAUUCAUCAAAACCCUAAACAUGAGGAUGGACUCAUAUAUAUAGGGUCACAAAAUAACAAAUAAACCCCUACAAAUAAAACAAUUCCAAAAAAAUCCUAAAAUGACAUUAUGCAAAUAAACCCAAAUGACAAUAUGCAAACAAACCCAAUCAACAUAAAAUAAAUCCAACUAAAAUAAAUCAAUCUAAAAUAAAAUCAGGCUGGCUGAAUCGGCUGGGACCCGCUGAGCUAGCUGGAUCCUGUGGCGACCGGCUGACCUGGCAUUGGUGUCCGCACCAUGGAGUCUAUAAAAAUUUGUAAUAUUCUUUAUAAUACAAUUAUUCACAAGUAGGGAACGAUUAAUGGUGACGAUGCCAUAAAAGAUGAAUUGAUUGGUUGCAUCAAUUUGCUUGCGCCCCAUCUAUCAAAUAGCACUUUCCUUGCUAUAGGUCCUUGAUAUAAUGCAUCUAACGGAAAUUGACAUGGCAUAACCUAGUUGCCUAUAUGGUUAAUUUAUUCACCAAGUAACCCUAACUAAAGAUACUCUAAUCACUACAAAGUUCUGCCUUAAUUAACUUAAGAUUCCGAUGAGUUUGGUCGGCCUAGCAAAGUUAAUUUUUAAAGCUAGACGAGGUUCAUGGCCCAACCUACAUGAGUGGAAUCUAGGUUAUCGAAGAUCCCAAGCCUGGCUCAUUGAUUCUCCAAAGGUUUAUCAUAUAUUCAAUACAGAAUCUUAUCUAGAUUUAUCAUGAGCUCAUGAAGCUUAAUUUAUCUGAGUCUUCUUAUCAAAAUGCCCAUGCAUUCACAAUUCACCUUAUCUUUUACCAAUUGCCAAGCCAUUUAAGGACAAGACACCAUGUGCACAAAACCAUCAAAACCAUUAGGUCACAUCCUAAAGAUCAUCAUUUUUGAUUAUGGAAGAUGUUGAAGGACAGCCAUUUGAUAAGGAGGCAACGAAAAGAUGUCACACUUUUGAGGAGUUCUUUACCUUUUCCUGAAACAAAACACAAAUUAUAUUGAAAGUAGAUCACAUCACCUUCAUCCAUCCUCCAAUUAAGACAAGGAAAUCCUCAAGUUUGCUCAAGUUUUCUGAAGUUUUUAACACAUGGUCAGCUUUAGCUUCAAUAAAUAACCUAUGAAUAUGUUUUUCUUCGAAAAGAAAUCUAUAAAUUUGUUGGUUUCAAAAUACUAUAUCAUGUAUUUCUUCCUAUCCAACAACCCAUUAAGCAUAUCUGCUUUUAGGUGCUCUUGCUAUUAAUCAACCUAGUCCAUGUAAAUGGAUUGGACUUUAACUCCUCAUUCGUCAAAUCGAAAAAAAAAAGGAAAAGAAAAAAGAAUUGAAUCGCACAUUGUGACCAUGUUAAAUACAUUGACAUCACCAAAUGGACAUUCAAAUUAUCCAUAUCAUAGACUAUGUCUCUACAAUCUUACUUGUGAUCCAGGGCCAUCUUUCCAUUAGAUGGGCAAUGGCCUACUAAAGUUGGGCAGUACUGGCUGUGCAUUAUCAUGUGAGUCUCAUGAUGGUGAUGGGUCAAAAGAUGGAUGGUGAUGUUUGAACCUUAAGAGUACCUGAGGUUAGGCAAUAAGACAGUGGAUUUGUUGUUUAAUCCCAGCUCCUGUCAUCACAACUUUUGUUUGUUAUGUUGGCCUUUGAUUGUUUAGUUGAUUGGUUGUUGGAGCUCUAAUAUUUUAUUUGCCUUUGUUGUUGGAUUCUAAUGGCUCUCUUGUGGGUUGCCAAGAACCAAACUUCAGGAUUCUGCCACCCUUUUCUGGCCAAGUAUGCACUUAAACAAAGCACCCAACUAAUUCAGUUUAGUGGAACAUAUGCGACAUUAGUGUCCAAUGCUUAGUUGGAGAUUAUACUGAAGGUCGGUCCCAUGCUAUUUUGGCCAUUGCAGGCCUUGUCAUGGUACGAUCUGAAAUAUUUGAUGCUUUAUUCAUGGAGGAGAGUCCAUGAGAGCUCUAAAGUGAUGGUUUUUGGCUGCUAUUACCUACUAAUGGACCUUUGUCUUCACAGACCAGAGUUAGGAAAGGAAUCACGUAGUGUACGACUUCAUUGUUUGCAGCUUGCUUUCUCCGGUCGUGCGAUGGCACAGUUAUGCCAACAAGUGUCUGAAAUUAGAAAGAGGCAAGAGUGGUAGUAGAUCCUACCAAUUUAAGUUUCAAGGACUUUCGCUGCCAUGGCGCUGCCUUCUCAGAGAAGAGGUAGUCAAGGCAUCAGAUCUGAUCUACAAACUACGAACUUCAGGUAGACUAAGAUAAAAUAAGGUAAACAAAAAUAAAACAAAGAUAAAAAAGAUGACUGAUCGGUGCUUGAUGAUUGGCCAAGGAUCCUUCCAUAGAAUUGCAUCCUAAAAUUUAUACAAUCUUUUUGUAAUGGCUAGAUAGUUGUUUUUCUCUAACUUUGAUACCCAUAUUUUGUGAUUGCCAUCUUGUCUACUUUCUUCUGAUGGUUCUCUUAGGAAUGUCCCUCUUGAAUUGCUUUCCAUUACCAAGAUUCAUCGUUAUUCUCUAGUUCCUGCUUUCGACAUGUGUUUAUCAUCUAGUUGGCCAUUGGUCUCUUACCACCGGUUGGGAUGUAGUAUAAAUAGUUACCAAACAUAUGUUAAAAUUUCACAAUAUUUCAAAAAUAUAGUUCUACUGCCCAAAGCUUUGCAGACAAAAGUUCUACUACUUACAACAAUGCCAAAUAGAGCUUUAGAAUGCUAGUAUUACACUUUUGCAACUUUUCAUCUUUACAUUCUCUAUUACUUUAUUAAGUGAUUCCCUUCUAAAUGGAAUAGUUUGUAAAUGAGAUGCUAUAAGUAGAGCAAAUUCAUAACAACUCCAUGUAGUUGAAAACAAUUGUUGAUACAUACUUGCAUGCAUGCAGGCAUAUAUGCACACAUGUAUAAAUACAUACAUAUAUGUUAUAUAUAUACAUAUACAUACACAAACAGAUACAUGUACAUGAAGCAUUCCAGAUUAACUAAAAACAACCGGAUAACAUUCAUUUUCAUCACCUAAAAUUCAUAUAUGCAUUAACAAAGUAUUAAUUUGAACUCUACUUUUUGGUCAGAUGAUCCAUUUUAUCUUAUUAGAUGGUUCCUCGCAUGACCUAUAAGAUCACAUAUUAUUCAUAUCAUAUUUUACAUUUUUUAUCUAUCAAAAUAUCUUGAUUUUAUAUCACAUCUCAAUUUUUGCUGCUCCUACAAUGCAGAUAUUUGCAAAAUUAAGGUCUCUUCGACCUCAAAAAAUCUUGGAUGAUUGUUUUAUUUUUCCCCAGAGCUUAUGGUAAAUAUUAAUUGAUCUUCUAGUUUACAUAGUUUACGUGACUUUACUUUUGUGUUCAUUAUAAAAUUUUUUUCUUGCGAUGCAAAAGAGAAAAUUAAAGAGCUCAAGGAAGAUUUGGAGAUGAUGAAAUGCCAAAUGAAGCAGUACAAGAAAAUAAUUAGCAAAGCAAGAAGAUACUGCUAGAAGGAGAUCUCGAUAAUCUCUCCGCCCUUAGGAAUCGAGUUAUCACCUCUAUCUGACCAACUUUCCAAUAUAUGAUUUUUUCCUUCCUUGAGUAUUUGAUGUAAUCAAUUUUUUCUAAUGAAAACUUAUAUAGGACAUUGUCAUGAACAAUUUUGUGUGCACAAACUCCUUGUAAUGGUAAUAGAUAUCAACUUGCUCAAUGAGUUAACAUUGCUUAUUGAUUGCUUUCAGUACAUCUACCACGCCCUUGAAGAAUGUUAUCAUGUGCAUUGGUUCCAUCCCUCUGUGCACUACCUUUAACACAACAUGCACCAAGAUAAAUUUUUUUGCACUGAGAUUAAAUCUGUAUGCACUAAAUAUAAAACUGUUGNNNNNNNNNNNNNNNNNNNNNNNNNNNNNNNNNNNNNNNNNNNNNNNNNNNNNNNNNNNNNNUAGAAAAGGAAGAGAAAGGAGACACACCGUUGACUCAAAUAUGUUAAUGCUGAUAAAAAAUAAAUUGUUGAACACCCUCUUUUGGACUAGCACUCCUAGCUUCCCUUCCUUUGAAGUAGAUUUAUUAGCUUCAUGAGUCACUAGAAAGAAGGUGAAAAGCCCACCACUUCCCUUUCUUCAUUCAUAGCCUAUUUAUUUGAUUGAUCUCCCUUCCAUAUUCAUUCGACCUGAAUUUGAAAAAAAGAGUAUUCAUAAAAAGAAAGGUUCUUUUAUGCAAUGCAUAACGGGCGGGCCUUCCGUGGAAUCCUCCAACUCAAUGAAUGAAGGGGGGAGUAUGAGGAAGGCCGACUUUCUUUCUAUAUGAAGAUGAAAAAAAGGAAAAGGAUCAAACAUUUUUUACUUAAGAAUAUGACUGCAUGAGAAAAAGCUCCUCAUGUGGCAUCACUUUACCACCAUCUGAAAUGCGCGAAACUUCGAUUGGUGUCAAACAACCCGCCAGAGUCUUUAAGCUUGAAAUAGAGAAAGAUAUUAAAGAAGAAAUUGAGAAGUUAUUGAAGGUUGGUUUCAUAAAGGCCAUACAACACCCCAUUUGGUUGACAAACAUAAUCCUUGUCUAGAAGAAUGGGCAAAUCUGCUGCUGUGUUGAUUUUUUAAAUCUAAAUAAAGCUUGUUCCAAAGAUGACUUCCUUUUGUCAAAUAUGGAUUUGCUCAUAGCCGCAACAGCUGGGCAUGAGUAGCUUAACUUCAAGACUAUAGCUAUUGUAACGAACAGACACAAUGAGCAACUUUUGUCAUAUCUCGGUUACCAUAACCCAACACCCAAAUCAAUCUCAUUACACUUUAAAUAUAACCCUUUUUUUAUUAAAAAAAAAGCCUUCACAGACAGAAUUAUAAAUAUCAGGACAAAAGUUUACGACAAUAAACUACGAAGCCAAAAAAAUACUGUUUGCCCACCAAGAACAAAGAGCCUUCAAUUCUUGGAACCUAGUACCCUAAGUUUAAUAUAAUAUCUAGGGAGAAAAUAAAAUCCUGUUUUGGUAGCUACACAAAACAUUGAUAACAACUAGGUACACAAAACCAACGCUAAAAGGAAUAAACAUCUAAUUCUCACCUUUAUUGUAUAGACUCCAUGAAGAACGCUCAUCAUAAAAGCUUGAGGUUGCAGAAAUUUUGAGGUUUUUGGGGUUCAAUAAAGAAGAAAACAGGAGAGGAAAAAGAGAAAGGGGAUGGAGUUCUCUUGACUGUUUUCACCAAAAGAGAAGGGAAUUCACCCUAACCAUAUAAAAUUGGUUUAAACCGGUUUACUUACAAUGUUCGCCCAGUUGAACCAAAAUAUUUUUUGGAUACUAAAUUGAUUGUUAAUGGAAUAUUGUGAUAGCUUUGUAACACAGUUUAACCCAGGGACUGCUUCCGAUAUUUCCUUAAAAAUAUAGUGACCACCAUACAAUAAACGGAAAGAAAUGGACUGACCUGUAAUUUCAGAAAGUACAGGCAUGGCCCUGCAAGAAACCCUUCACAGUAAGACUUUUCAAACCUUAUUAACAAGAAACUUUUGAAAGAAUGGGCGAAACCAGCUUUGAAAUAUUUUCAAUAACUCCCAUGAAUGCUUCCCAAGCAUCUCUUGCUCUAAAUUUUUUAGACUGCCCUUGUGCACCUACACUGUAUUGGGUUCUCACUUCAAAUAACCGAUAUCUGAUUAAUGUGGAUAACUCAAAACUUGUGGGGAGAUAAGAAGUUGCAGCAGAUAAAUCCUGAUUUUCAAUCACCUUCCAAACAUCAUCAACUGCCAUCAAUGCUUUGUUUCCACCAAUUACCUCUGGCUUCUCGGAGUCUUCCACAACACAAUCAUCAAAACGAUGCAAACAAUGCAUAGGGAUGCAGGGAGACCAAUCAAAACAGGAUCCUGUUUUACUUGCAUCGUCGGCAUCCUCUGUGUGUCAUCUAUUUAGAUCAAGGACAAAGCAAACCUUGAUAAUACGGACAACAGACCAUCCUGCGAAUCUAUGCAAGAAAAUUAUAUAAAUGCGAGUAGAUGAUUAAUGCAAGUGAACAUAUCUAAAUGAAUUUCUAGAUUCAAUUACCAUGAAUAUCUGCAGAAUAAGGAGAUCUCACACUAAUUCAUAACUAAAAAUAAACUAUAAUCACAUCAAUAAAUAUCAACUUUACAAGAGGCUUAGUAGGAUCAAGUGCAUGUGCUAAAUUCAGAUUGACCGAUGCCAAAAGAUAUGGCUUUUAAAGCAUACCACCAUAGAAACAUAACAAGAGAAGACUACAUCAGAAUGUAACAAAAGUUGCCCAUCCUCUGUGAAGUCCAGACUAAAGUAUAAAUGCCAAAAGCAUGGUUAACCCAUUACAGCUUCAAGUACCCACAAAAUAUAACUAAAAAUAUCUCCUCGCACCUAAUAAAGAAAGAAAACAACCAUAUUGACUGGAUAAUUGCUUCUACCGAAGAUAGGCCUAACAAUGCAAGCAACCUCUCCUGCAAGACAUGAAAUGAUAUAUUAUUCAUUUAAUUCAAUUAUGGAAAUGUUGAAGUGCUUUGCUGGAGUUUUUAACUUGGUGAACAUAUAAAACGACAACAAUCCAAAAGGCAGUACAACCAAAUUGCUUCAUGCAUUAAACAAAGGAAAAAUGUCAUCAGUGAUACGUAAGAUACCUUGUCACAUUCACCUUUGCCAUAUUUUGUGAUCUAGACAAUAAACGCAUCUCGAUAUACAAGAAAAGCAACAUGAUUAUACAUUAUAUUUUGAAAGUACAAGUUACAAUCCAUAAAACUGCCUUUGUUUUUGCAAUGAAAAUUUAUAAAUUCCUUGGUUUAGAGAUCAUGUUGGUUGCUUGUGGAAGUUCAAGGGCUGAAGGCCUUUUUUUUUGUCAUUUUCCUUCUAAUAUCUCUUCCCUUUUUUUCUGUAAUUUUUUUGUCCUCUCAAUGAAAUUGCCGGGGUUUCUCUCCCAAAAGAAGAAAAAAUUCAAAAAAAAUCUUUUAAAUCAUAUAACUGGAAAUUUCUACUUCAAGUACUAGAAGCUUCCAAAUUCAUGAUUUUCUUUACUUAUCGUAUAAUAAGUUAAAAACUUCAAAUGUAACAUAGAAACUAACGACCUAAACAACAGGACAUCAUAAUAUCACAAGAAGCAGUAAAUGACAUAAUCAUAGUCUGCUAGUGUUUAAAUUACAAAUCUUAAAAUCCAUUCUAAAACCAAAUAAUCUGCAAGUCAGCAUUUCUCUUCUCGCCUGUGCUGACUCGUGGCCAUUAUUUCAUUGGCUGCCCAGUAGGGCUGAAAAUGGAUUGUUUACCAAUCAGAUAUCAGUAUUUCCAAAUACAUAUCCAUUUUUAUUAGGUGAAAAUGAAUACGAAAGCAGAUAUUAAUUGGAUGCUAAGAUUUGUCAUAUUUGUUUUAAACAGAUCCAGGUUGACAAAACAGAUAUCAAUGCAGUCAUAGAUUGGAUUGUUAAGCAUUACGGUUAAAACAUUACUCUACAUUAUAUUUUACUGAUUUUACUAACUCAAAUAAGGAUAUAGGCUUUUUCUUUCAUUUUCUAAAAUAGACAAAAUGAUUUUACAAAAAAGCAACAAAAAUAACUACAUCCAUUUGAUGACCAGAUUCCUUUAGUGGAUCCUAAUAAUUCCUGCAAGUUACACACUUUGAAUUGAAAAACUGACUGCUAAGGAUAUAAUCUACCAAAUCAAAGAAGUUGAUGGAUGGAAAGGAAGCUACAUUAAAGAUAUCAACAAUUUAUUGCGAGUUUACAAAUAUGACAAUAAGAGUGUAUUCUCAUAUUCAGGUAUAGACCAAAUAUUUGCAUAUCCAUUUCUCUUUUCAUUGAUGGAUACAAAUACAGAUAUGGAUAUCAGUUGCAUGCUAAAAUCUGCAAUUCAUAUUCGAAUAUUUUGGAUAUGGAAAUGGAGCCUCCAAACUGCCUCGGUGCUCUGUGGCCUAGUUGACAGGUCUCAGCCAAUCAGAUGCAGUGCCUUUUUCCAAGGAAGAUGUUCAUGUUUAGUUUGGGUUCAGCAAUCAGGUUCCACCACAAUGGUGAUUCGGUUACAUUAAUUGGGACAGUUGGGUGCAUAUUGAACCUAUUGCUUAACAUACUCAUCUAAACCUCAUGAUUGCCUCUUUCCUACUCUUUCUAGGUUAUUCUCCUCCCUGUUCAACCACCUCACUGCUCACGCUCAACCAUUGGAAGCUCCAGUCCAUCAUCCAGACUGAUAGCUAAGAUAUUCGGCCAUGUGAGGCUCAUGAGUCCUUCAGCCAAUAAGGAGUUUUAGUUCUUAUUUCCAAUAGUAUAUAAGAAAAGGGACUUGGUUGAAGGGAGAAAAGGCUUUGCUGCUAUAACGUAACGAUGGGAGAAGCAAGGGAAGAAAAAAAGGCUUCCCAUGCUAUCAGAUUAUGGAAUCAUUCAGCUAUACUUUCUCAUUAACUGCAGCUUUUUUUUUUUUGAUAUGAAGGGAGGUUGCCCACCCAUGUUAUUAAGAAGGGAGAAAUUACAAAGAGUAAUGGGUUUGGCUAAGCCAUAAGCUGAGAUAGCUUGGUCCUUACCAGACCCCAAAGGAAAAGAAAAAUUCAGGUUUCCAGGUGUUUGAAAGUAAAAGGUCUUCAGCGACAAAGACUUAUGUCCUAGGCUUCCUUCAGAGCCUUAAUCAUUUCUGGCAGUUUGUGCUGAAACUCAUGGUUGGCUAAAGAUGUCCAACUCUCGAACAUAAUAGUACUGAGUUCCACAGUUUUCAGGGCUGAGUUUGCCUCGAUUUGAAGACCCAGCGAUGUUGUUCUUUCAUAGACACCAAAAGAUAGUGACCAUUAAAUUAUUCCAUAGUAUCUUCGGGUACUUGGUAGGCAGUCGAUCCCUCCAGGUUGACCAGAGAUCUUGAACUGCACUGGGUGGAGAGGGGAGGGGUGUUAUUUGGGAUAAUGAGGACCAUACAACUCCGGAAUAACCACAUGUUAAAGGGAGAUGAUCAACAUCCUCAUAUUGUUCGCAGCAUAUCAUAUAGACGGAUGGCGCUGGGAAUCCUCUUUUCCUAAGGUUCUCUGCUGUAAGGAUUUUAUAAUUAAAAACCAGAUUUUCUCUAGGAGCAACAUUUUCCAGUUGAAUUUUGCAAACUGGGACAUGACUCCUCCAUGGCUGAAGAAAUGAUAACAUUUUUUCAUCAUGAAAGUCUUCUUAGUAUCCCAUUUCCAUUGUGCUAUGUCGUUCUUUUGCGCUGUUGAUGGAGCUCAAAAGCUUGAUGAGGGAUUAGUAUUCUUCAAUGGCUCUGGCGCAUAAGGAUCAUAAAAUAAACUUUUAAGUUCCUCAUUUUCAAUUACUUGCUUUACUGAGAUGUUCAGGCUUGUCAGAAGGAAUAAGCUUGGGAAGAGUGAUUUGAGUGGUCCAUUUGCUGCCCAGCUGCCUGCCAAAACGCAAUCUGUCUGCCAUCUCCUAUCCUGAAGAUGAUGCUUGAGUUGGAAAAGGGUCUAACCUUCACUACGUUGCUCCAUGCACAGGAUGGGAAAUGAAGGCAAUCUCCAUGGCUUAUCUUGCUCCUGAAAAUACCUCCACCACCUCUUAAGAAGAAAGCAGUGGCUGAAAGUUUUCAAGUUUAACAAUCCCAAGCCAUCUAGUCUCUUCAGUCUGCAGAUAUGAUCCCAGCUAGCAAGGUAGCAUCCUCCAUUACAAUGUUUGUGACCCCUCCAUAGGAAGUUCCUCCAUUUCUUAUCUUUUUGAUGAUUUCAUGAGGGAGAAGGAAAGUGGAUAUCCAGUAGGUGGAAUGGACCUCGGCACUGCAUUAACCAAGCACAACCUGCCUCCAAAAGAGAGCAGCUUACCUUUCCAAGCUACUUCCUAUCUACUUUCUCGACAAGUUCCAAUCAGAAAGUCUGAGUUUGGCCAAGGGGGAGCCGAGGUAGUUAACAUGAAGGGUUGCUUGGAAACAUCCCAAAAUUGUGGCAAAAUUCUUGCUUAUAUCUUUCGGCAAGUCCAUUCUUAUCAUAGAACUCUUAUCAAAGUUUAUUUUCAAGCCUGAAGGUAUCGUCGGCAACUCAGCAUAUUGAAGGUGUCACCAAUCAUGUUUAACGGUCCAAUGCUAGCUAUCAAGCCAAUUUUUUGUGCAAUUCUUACUGUUUGGUCCCGGAUAUCGGUGAUAAGGAUGAACAGUAGUGUGCGUGGUCUAUCAAACUAGACUGAACCGCCCGAUUCGGCCCGUACCGAACUGACCCGACACGGACCAGGUUAGUUCGGCUGUGGGGUUUGGAUCCGAACACGAACCGGUCAGAAUCUGUCCAAACCAACCUCGAACCGCUCGAAACCGGUCCAAAUCGGCCGGUUCGCAUCAGACCGAUUCUCCCUCUCUUCCUCUUUAUUUAUGUGUUGGGAGAACUGUUGGGAAGGCUCGAGAACCUUCUCCAGCCUUCAUUGAAGUCUUCAACCCCCCGGCCAAAAAAACACGAUUUAAGAUGAUUCAAGGAGGAUCCAGCCCAAAAUAAGGUAUGCUUCCUCUCUCCUACCUCAUUUUCUUCUUUUUUCUUCAAAGAUGAAAAAUGCCUCAAUUUACAAAAUGAGGAAAGAUCAUCCCAAAAUUUUCGAUUUUGGCAUGAUUUCAUGAUAUGUUAUAGAUCUAUGGCUGAUCUGCACAAUCCUACUAAAAUUUUUAAUUUUUGAAUUAUAUAUAAUUUUUAAAAUAAAAAAAUAUAUUUUUUGAUUAAAAAUUAAUAAAAUAAAAUAAAAUUCAAAAAAUAACUGUAAAAUCAGAAGCUUAUCUAAGGACAUGCAAGCUAUUCUCAGCAAAAUUUGGUGCUAAUUAUUUAAGUUUUGACACGAUAAUGGGCAUAAUGGCCUAGACCAAAUUUAAAAAAAUAGAAAAGAAAGUAACCAUUGAUGCAUGCCUAUAGGCUUCGAAAAAUAUAUAUAGCAUCCAUGAUAAGCUUCUACAUAAAUCUGAGCUCAAAUUAAUUUUCUAAAAUAUUUGUAUUUAAAAAUUAUUUUUUAGUUUAAAAAAUGAUUAAAAGUAUAUAAUUAAUACAAAAAAUAUAAAAAAUUAGUAAUACGUAUUACAUAUUUCAGAAGUAUUUUCUGAAGUAAAAAAUAUAUUUCUUUGAAUUUAUGAUAUUUAAAGAUAUUUUUUUAAUUUAAAAAUUAUUAAAAUUAUAUAAAUAAAUCAAAAAAUAUAAAAAAAUAGUACUAUGUAUUAGAUAAGUCAGAUGUAUUUUCUGAAAUAGAAAAAUAUAUUUUUUAAUCGUAACAAAAUUUUGCUAUUUUUAAAUAAUUAAUUAAAUUGACGUGUUCAAUAAACUUACCGGAAUGGAACUAUCAAGAAAAAAAGAUUCAGAGUGUGUCAUUAGUUGGGAUCAAGGGCAAAUGCUCUCGAAUUGGCACUAUCCCGACAUAUCUAUAUAUAUCACAAAUGCCUAUAGGAGUUCCGACAGCUGGUAAAAUCAGCAAAAGAGAAGAUUUCUAAGAAGAAGACGAAGGUGGACCGCCGAGCAAAAAAUCGUGACUCACUAUACAUAGAUGUUCUACCUCCAAGACCCUAUUUCCCUUGCAAGACCCAUAAACAAGAAUUGAAUAAAUGGGAAAUGGGGAGCAAACCCAUGCCAUGCCAGCCAUUAUAUAAAAUAGGUAGCAGGCCUUGUCUGGGUACCCUUUCGAGCACAACCCAAGGAUUAGGAGAUUAAAAGUCAAGAAUAGUGGGAGAACACAAACGCCUAGUGGAAGGCGGAAUGGAGGGACUCAAGGUAGUGGAGGAGAACGUUAGGGUGGCGGAUGAUGAGGGGAGCCGGAGGCAAGGUUGAUGGCCAAUUUGGGGUUGGGAUAUCACAUAAUUUGGAGCGGGAAGUUUUCUUGUUAGCAAGUGCUAUCUAGGGUAUUUUAGUCCAAAAGUUGUCAUAUGACCAUCGCAUGAUACAACCAAGGUUUUAAAUCCCUUAGGAUAGGGUUAUCCCAGUUUGCCCAUGGAAUGGGGUACACCGCCAUCUCGCUCUAUCCCAAGUGUUGUCUCGGUUUGCCCAUGGAAUGACAUGCUGCCAUCUCACCCCAUCCCAACACUUCGGACAUGGGAUGUCCUAAGAUAUGCCGAUCAGGACACUGAGAUAAUGGCAAGACGGUCUUGUCCUGACACUCAGGACAAUGCCUCGUCUCGAUGUUCCACAGAAUGCCCCACUGGGAUUUGAGACCAUGACACAAUCCAUUGAGAUCAUGUAAAUGAAGAUAGACGAUGGGACCGCAAUGGAUCACUUAACGAACUUAAGGGAUCUAAUUGAAAAUUUUUGAAUAAGAGAAAAGUAAGUGAAAUUUACCCUAAGUUGAGGGGUGAGGGGAAAACUUAUAUGCUGUGAGAUAAUGGCUAGUUGGAAGUUUUUUUUGUUUAGCUACCAAUUGAUGUUGUAGUGGUCUGUUUGGUUGCUUUUAGGUAUUGCACAUAAAUAUUAUUGGUAGGAUUCUUUUUUAUGCUAAUGGAGGCAAGGAUACAAGAAACGUUAGGUUAACAGAAUUUGCUUAUUUUGUCAUUGAUGUUGUAUACUCCAUGAAUCUUUAAUUCAAUAUCAUAUAACUCAAGUUUCCUUGCAUUCUUUUUCGAGUUCUAUUCCUAGCACCCUUUUACCCUUCAAAAAAACAUUAUAGUUCGCAUGAUUGUUUUCUUUUAUUUGUUGUUGUUGUAUCUUUUUUAUUAAUAACCAUGCAUCUAGACAAUUUUUUGCCAAAGAGGUCACGUUUAGAUCUUAUCUAGUGCAGUCAGGUUCACAAUAUGAACAUCAUUAUGGUUCAAAUUUAAUCAAGGAACAAUAAUACGUCAUAAAAACAUAUUACCAACAAACAUUGCAUAUUACAUAGUUAUACAUGACAUACACUAUUCGUUUAAGAUUUGAUUGUAAUUAUGCUUCAAGUUACGCCUCUCGAAAUACCUUGUUAAUAUUUUUUAUGGUGCACUGGAAGUGCUUUAUUGAUAUUCGAAAAGCAACAUGAACAUUACAAGUUAUAGUUUGUGAGUAAAUGCUCUGCAAUAUUACUAAAAGUUAACAGUACUAAACUGCUAAUACUUUAGUAGUCCUUCCAUGCAUUCUUUUAUUUUGACAUAUCCAAGAUAGAAGGUCAAACCUUAUCAGCAAGAAGAAGACCUUCAUCAAAUGAACUUGGCGUAAUUUUAGUCCAAUCUGCCAGGUUUUAAGUUUGAUGGGGGCUUAGAUUUUGUUUUAGUUUGAUGGGGGUUGAGAUUUAGUUUUUUAAAAGUUUAGGGAGUAUUUUCCUCAAUCUUGCCCAUCAAGGGUCUGAUCUAACCUACCAAUCCCUAUUUUUCCCUUCCGUGUUUGACCAUGAAUCUAAACUUUGAUUUUUCCUCCUUUCUUUUAGGGGAAAUAAGGAAAGGGUCAUUUAAUUUAUAGGAUCCAAGUUAGAAAGUUUGAAAGAGGUUUUAAUUUAUAUAAAAUGUAUUUUGCUGUCAUUUAAGAACUAUUCGCAUAAAAAAAAAACAUUUUUUUCACCUCUUUGGAAGAGGGCCUAUAAAUUUUGGCUCUGAAACGAGAUUCACAGGUUGAAAUUGCAGAAAUCAAAAUAAAUUCAGAAAUUAUCGUCUUUUCUGUUUAUUUUUUCAGAUCUGAAAUCACAUUCAGAUUCAUACAAGUGUGGAUUUUAGAUCAAUUCUAAACUACAUUUGGAAAUCAAUUUGAAGGUUUCCUUCAGAAUAUCGGUUUAUAUCAGGACUCCUUUGACCAGGAGCAGAGAUUUAAUACAAUUUAUAAGUCCUACUCCAUAACUCUGAUGAGGAGAUCAAUAAAAUGCAUGAAUUAAUAUCAAAUAAUAACAUUUUGAAUUUCAUAAAACCAGAACCAAUAAGAAUUUCAAUUAGAAUGAAGAGCAGUUCCUGAAGUCUAAUGCUUUGUGUCCAUAAACUAGAGAAAGGAAAGUUUUUCAUAAGGACGGCUCCUUAAUUCUUCAAUCAGACUAGUAAUAACUCGAUCAUAAUUUCAAUAAUUAAAGCUCACAGAUUGGAGAAAAGCAAAUAAUUUUAUAGAAUAACUUUCGCAGAAUGUCAUUUGAACUGACAUUUUAUAUAGUUCAUGUAAUAGACAAAAAGAAAAGAAGUUAAGCAAAAGUGCAGUUACAGCUGUAUAUACAGUGGUUUCCAUGUCUUAUUGGCAUUAUGUCAAGCAUGGGGUGCUCUAGAAAUAUAGUUUGAGAUUUGUCUAAAAUUUAAAAAGGUAACUUAGAAAAAGAUUGAAUACCGAGUUUCUCAUAAAACAGAGAAUAACUGAAGGUGAAUGGAGAAAAGAGUGACUGACUCACAGGUAUAUUGAUGUUAAUGCUAUAUUCAGAAAACCAUGCUGCUUUUUCCAUUCUUACCAACUUUUAGUUCAGCUCAAAUGCAGGUGCUUCACCUAAACUUUGGCCUCUUCGAAGGCACACCCUUCCUUAUAUCUGGAACACGGGACUUCACAAGGGCUUUUGCCUUCCUUCUCCUCCUCUCUUCUUCACUGUCUGAUUCAUCACCCUUCUCCCUGUCAGCAUUACUUGCCUCCCGCUCCAGCUCCUCCCAAGUCUUCCCCUUCUCCUCAGAGUCCUCUGAAUCCUCCUCUUCAUCUUCAUCUGACUCCACCAGUGACUCACUGCCAUUAUCAUCACCCUCAGAAGCAGAAUCCGGCUCCAGAUCAGAGGGCUCAUACCCUUGGUCUGAUUCCUCAGUAUUAUCUGAUUCUGAGUCACUUGCCUCCAAGUUUAGGAACUCCCAUCCACCAUCUUCAAUAAACUUCUGAGGGUCAUCAAUAAUAGUUUUCAAGAUCGGGCGCCAAUUUAAGUUCAACCUGCUCUCAUAAUACUUCAGAUCAGUAGUGUCGAGCCACUCUUUAAUUCCAUCUAAAGAUGUGGAUGGAAUAGAAUCUAUGCGAAGAACAUCUUUCUUGAAGUCUUUGAAUACGAUGGUCAUGUCAAAGUUCUUCUGUCCAAGCCCUACCCUUUCCAGAUUAACAAUUUCAAUCUCACUCAAAGUAACUACCAGAAAUGGGGUCUCAGUAAGUUCAACUAAACAGCUUGAAGUUGGAACAAUGAAAGCUGAAGCCUUAUGAGGAACUCCAUGGAAACCAAGCUCCCUCAGAGGCAUAUCAAACUCCAGAUCUAGAUCUUUGAGUUGUGGUUGUGCCCAAUGGUCAUGUACCUUGUUGAUGAAGUUCUGAAAAUCCAUGUUUAUUCUGUUUUUUCUUUCCCUCUCACGCUGCUCUUCCUCUAUCUCAUCAGGAUCGAUGGCUGAUCUCCUCCCACCACCCAAUGUCUGCACAACAUCCAUCACUUCGACAUAAAAUUGGACAUCUUUAGUCUUCCUAUUGCCCACCAUUAUGUGAUUGUGCAGAUGAAAGUGCAGAAGUGUAAUCAUUUCUCUCUCUGCAGGCUGGAAGAAGGCAUGCUUAAUGUUUCCAUACAUAAUAUCCACUCUCUCAUCAGAUCUGGAUGUCGAAUACCGGAAUCCAUUAAUAUGAGCCUCUAAAAUGCCAGGUAGCUUUCUUCCACGACCACCAAACGUGGGGCGUAUCCACAAGUCUGAUAACCUGAUCGGUUUCAACCUGUUGCCAGAAAGCUGUAGUUUCUCCUGAGUAACCAAAGUGGCCCUCUCAGCUCUCUCUGACUCCCUAGAUGCAACUUGCCUUCUAAGGGUCUUGAUCAGUUGUACCACUUCACUGCUAUGCCUCGGAUCCUUGGAACGGAAGGUGAUCUCCUUCAAAUAGAUAGCACCUUGAAAUUUAAGGGAGUUCGCAUCAUGGGGGUUAAAAGGUGUACCAGGCACAUUGAAUAUUAUACGGAUUGUGCAGGUUCGAUUGUCUUGAUGCGAAGUCACACUCUUCACAGUAGAGACAUGGAAGGGAACCAUGCUUCCAUAUAUUGGUAAAAGAAUAGCUUCAUUCCUCUGGUCCACUUGUAUCACCAGCUCCCUUGAAUAGGGUAUAUCAUUGACAUUCUUGUAAGCAGUUAGUUCAGUCGAAGUUCUUACAGGACCUCGCCCAUCUGCAUUUGCAGAGCCACCACCAGCUAGCCUCCUGGCAGUCUCUUCGUUCUUCUGGCGAGCAAGUUCUGCUUGGUGUUGUCUCCGCAGCUCUUCCUUCGACAUCUCCUGGUUGUCCGACCUCAGUGUUGCUUUGGAUGGAAAGGGACCCGUGCCAUUAACUGGAGGUCUGGCCCUGGGAGGUUCCUCUUCUUCCUCUUCCUCAUUAAAUGAGUAAGCAAUGUCCUUGACUGCCUUGAAGCACCCUGCAGUCAAGACUUCUGAGGGCUUUUCACUAACAAUAACAGUGUCAGCCAGCAAAAGAGAGAAUGUCUGAGUCUUCGGAUUGUUUGUCUCAGCACGGAGGUUCUGGAAACCAAGCGAGACAUUAAAAACCAUGCCCGCCUUCAGAGACCGAUCAGUUUUCGAAUUUAGGCUAAACCCAGAUUCACGGAACUCGAGGCCAAUUCCUGUUCCAGCUGACUUGGUUAGAUUUGGAAGGAGUUCUGGUGCUUCUUUCUCAACCACAGCAACUGCAGCCUGGUAAGCAGAACUAACCUUAUUACCAGGCUUCAAAGCACCUAUUGCAGCAUCAUGAGCCUUGAGGAGAACUUCGUAUGCCUUACUCUGUGAUGCAGUAGCAUCAAUCAAAAAUGUUCUGGCAACAUUUGAGCAAUAACUGUUGUAGCGUGAGCCAAUUGCACAUAUGAUAACACUUGUUGAGUCAUAGUACAGAUUGUCAUCAUUACUUGAUGCGCUAGGCCUAAGGUCAAACUUCCCACCACUCUGAACGAUAGGAGGAUAGCAUAUAUCAACAUUUUCUGCCUUCAGCUUGACCUUGAUCUUGGAUGGAUCAAGUAUCACCUUUUCUGUAUCAUCCAUUAGUGAAGAAUGAGAGACCUUCCUUUCUUCAUCAAUAGCCUUCUCAAGCUUUGGGACCACAAAGUUCUUCAUCACUGAUGAAGUUAAAUAUGCAGCUUUCCUCGCACAAGUGAGCUCAAUGGCAUCUUUGACAGCAAACAGUUCCGAGAAACCAGGUGUCACAUCAGUGAGCUGUAACAUUGAACCACCCAGCUUCUCAGACCAUCUUUCAAGAAGCUUCCCUUCCGGCGCCUCUUUUGCAAUGUAUCCAACAAUUGGAUCAGAUUUGGACUGAGAACGAACAGCACGCAAUAUCUCAUCCAUCAAGGCAGUCCCAUCAUCAUUCUUUGCCUUAACAUGUAUGACAACAUCGGUACCAACAGCUUCCUUCGCAGACUUCUUAAGGGUUUCAAGCAGAGUGGCUUUCUUCUGACUACACAAGAAAUGGAUCUGCUUGCUCAUGAAAACCAUGAUCGUCUCUGGGAACUCAUAUCCAAGCAACCAGAUAUUCAAGGAUGAUGACUUCAGAUACCGAAGAUCUUCAGAAGUAGGGGGAGUUGCAAUGGUUAUAGCAUCGGCAGAGCCCCACAAAUCAGCUUUGUGCUCCUUCCAGUGUGUAUAAAACCCCUGCAGACGCUUGCUGAAAUUCUCAAGAUUGAUUGUGUACGCACCAGCCCCAGAGGCAGAUGGUUUUGUGCUUUGAUGAUCAGCCAUCAGUCACCAAGUCACCACAAACAACAGCUACUAUUUUUUAAAAUGAUGCUGAUUGAUUAUUGAUGUCCUCUAAUCUCUCACAGAGUAGAUUAACCUGACAAGAAAAAAUCCACAUAUAUAAGGAUCCAAAUAUGUCAAAAUAGAAUGCGAAAAGAAAGAUGAUACAUCUCUACUAUCUGCUAACAUAGAGCAAAAAUUUCAUGUCCAGCUGUGUAUAGCCGUGGGCACCAUUCCAUCACAUGCUUGGCACAUGCCCUGAGAUAUGACAAGUAACUGCACACUUCUCCCCUCUUUGUACACAUUCCCAUCUUUACUUAUUACACCUCCUUGGUUCAACCAAUCACAAUUCUCAUUUUGGUCCUCCUCCAUCAAUGAUUCCCUUAACUGCCAAUGCUCAUUAUAAAUCCUACCAGAGAUCUAUCUUUGUUCUUUUUCUGGACAAACUACAGACCAAUUUCUAAGCAGAACAUGCAGCACGAAUGCCAAAAUUUCACUGUAUUAUAAAUGUAAACUAAAAUUCACAACAAAAACGGAUACUGCUCAAUAACAUUUUCCCCUUCUAUGUAGGAACAGCUAUAGUUUAAGCAAAUCGAUAAUAAAAUUUCAAACGAACACUAAGAUGCUAUGAAAUCAAAAGUUUGUUGCUCCAAAUUUUUUAUUUGAGGAAAACAUUUAAAAAUGGAAAAGAACAAAUUGUCCAGAGAAAACGAACCUCAACGAAUGCCCCACAAAAUAGCAAAAAAUUAAGAUAAGUCCAAAAGAUCUCCCAUUCUCACAAGCACAGAAACGAGUCCAUCCCAUAUACUCCUUUAAGGUUAGUUCAAGGGCUUCAGAAAAACCAAAAUAUCAACAAAAUGCACAAAAUUCCAUCAUAAUUCCCACGGAGAACCUAGAAACGACUUCCUCCUCUCCCACGAUCACCAACCAGCACCCGUCCAAAAAACACAAACUUGAACUUUGGGUUAGGGUUCGAAGGAGGGUUGGGACCAUCUCAAUCCCCGAAAGCCAGAAACAAACCAACAGAUUAAACAAAGCAAAGAGUCAAAAUACCUCAAACUUCGCCCUCCGUUUUGCUCCUAUCAGCAGCUCCAAUCCACCCGUUCCUGCCCCAAAAAAUCAAAACCAAAGUUAGGGUUAGGGUUUCCGCGACUUCCAAUCAAGCUCAAAUCCACGCCUCAAAGAAAAGAAAUAAAGCAGCAAAGUUACUCGUUUCUCUCCUCCCCGAGAGCCCCCUUCGUCGGCAAUUCCGAUUCUGCCGCGGCCGACUUGUUUCCUAUCGAGGAAGGGCUAGGGUUAAGGUUCCGGAAACGCUCGAAAUGGGGGAAUUCGGCGGCUCAGGAACCCUAGAAGAAGACGAAAUCCAAUCGAAGGAGAGGACUGUAAAGGAAAAGAGAGAAGAUUUGAAGAAGAGAAGAGGAUAAAUCGAGGGCCUGAGGAAAGAAAAAGAAAAAGAAAAAUCGGAACUUUUUUUUAUAGGAGAGGGGAGAGGUCGAGAUACGAAGAGGGAGGAAGAAAAAAAUAAAAAAAAAAGGUCGAGAGAGGGACAGAAGAAGGGAUUCAAUAUCGGGGAGAGAGAGAAUUCGACCGCCCGCCUUUGAGACCAUUUAUACGUGCUGACGCCCUCGCAGAUUUCGGGAUCGACUCGACGCCGACCCGAAUCCGUUUUGCUCUUCUGAAACGGGUUUGGGUCGGAUCAUUGGAUCAUGUUCGGUUUGGGAUUAGCCCUGCAUCUGUAUUCAAGUUCAAAACACACACAUUACAGAGAAUUAUGUUAUUGAACAGUCUACUUUCUCUUGGUAAUGUUGGUUACGCUCACGCGAGAUUAAUGUGAGUAGCAUAUGUACUAAAAAAAAGAGAGAGAGAGAGAGAAAUUAUAUUCUAUGCGACGUGCACCACAUGCACGUUGCCAAUCACAGUCGCUCGUUUCUAUUCUGUGCUUCAAAAUGAGCGCUUAAUAAAUAAGGCCAAUAAAAACGAGUGCUAAUAUUGGUGCACCGCCGUAGAAACGAGCAGAUGUGAUUGGCAUCAUGCAUGGUCAUAUGGUACAUGGAGAUAUAAUUUAGGGAGAGAAAGAGCUAUUCAUAAUUUUGGGGUUAGAGGCAUUUGUGAAGCUAUAUUUGCCGAUGGCUUGGAAAAUGAGGUGAGGAUACAUUGUCAUCGAGGAGGUGUUAACCUACUAAGCUAAUAAUUUUUGAUCGAAAGUAUCUUCGCAAGAGUCAAUAUGGUAAUAAUGAAGGGAAUUUUCUCCUAUACAUAAGAUUCUUUAUCCUGCAAAGACUUCUUACCUCAUAUGCUCUCUCUUCAUGACAACCAUAAGAACAAAAAGGGUGAUGUUACUCACACGUGAGGCAACCCAUAGAUCGGAAAAGGCAUGCGGAAACUUGCGACCCGCAUCGAACAUUCUCUGAUAGAAGGGGGGCCUAGUGGAGCUUGCUAUGCAGGUGGGUUUGUCCCUCGAACAUUCCCCAAUAGAAAGGGGGCCCAGUGGGGCUUGCUAUGCAGGAAGUCCAAAUAGAAGAACUAUGUAGAUUCUUGCAGCCAUGAUAUCUAUCAUGCUAAGAUUUGUAGAGACAGACGGGUCUGUUUGUGAGGACUUGCAGUUAUCCCUACCCUCUGCGUAGUGUAAGCAUGACAAACACUGCUAUACAUAUAUAUAUACAUAUAUACAUAUAUAUAUACAUAUAUACAUAUAUAUAUGUAUAUACAUAUAUACAUAUAUAUGUAUAUAUAUAUACAUAUAUAUGUAUGUAUGUAUGUAUAUGUGUACAUACAUAUGUAUGUAUGUAUGUAUGUAGGUACGUACGUCUUGUUGUGCCUCUGAUAAUGCUUGCUAACAAGCUAUGCCCACUUUGAUUCAAAUUUAGCCAGCAAAUGAGCUAUUUGCAUCCAACCACUUCUUUUGCCUCCGACCGUUCCAUCAGAUAGGGUUGCUGACAGAUCACCGAAGAUUGCAUAUUCAACCCUUAAUUGAUCACCUGAUCAGAACAAGCGGAUUAGGUAGUUUGCACCAUCGGUCUAGGAUGCAUAAAAAGAUUCAUCAUCCAGUACAUUUCCUAUGCUUCAUUUCUUUGACGACAAUGGCUGUAUUGCCCUCGUCAGUCUUCUCUUUGUUUGUCUGAUAAGUUACAUUACAGAGGUCCAUCCGAGUGCAACCCAUGUUCUCAUAUCCAUUAUUCUGAUACUCCUCAUGAUCAGUGAUCUGCUGCUUCUGUAUAUCACAAUCUCCCAUGUUGCCAAACUCAUGCCUCUUGACACUAUCAAACUUCGAAAGUAAGCGAAGAAAACGAACCACAUCUUCUCAGCAAGUUCAUGGUUGUGUUCCUCCUCAAAUUUAUUUACUUUCCAAUUCCGAAUCAACUUAAGUCUAUCUGGAUAGCCACUUCCCACUACGACUUAGCAAGUUCACCCAGUUAAUAAAGAGAGCAUCAUUUCUUUUCUCGAGAGAGAAACGUUGCUGCAUGGACUCAACGUCCAUGUCAAGCUCAAUCUUCCUCCCUUCAGGCUACAAUAAAAUUUGUGUUGCUUUAAGCAACGUUGUUAUUAGAGAAUACGAUAUGGGGAUUACCCUUCUCCCUUCGACCUAACUAGAAGUAAAAGUGGAUCGGAUAAUAUCUAUUGGGAUAUGAAACUAUUCAGAUAGAGAUAGAAAUUUGAGAAUUCGACUAAUAUCCAUAUCCGUAUCCAUAAAAGAAAAAUAGAUAUGGAUAUGAAUAUAGAUAGACAAUGAUCAAUCCGUAUCCGAAUAUCUAAUUUCAUUUAUAACCCUAUUUAAUUUUAUAUAGCACUCAUAAACUUUUUAAAAAAAAUAAAAACCACAUUAACAUUACUAUUAACUUAAUUUAUCAUCCACUUAGUAAUAUCUUUAAUUUUAGUCAUAAAGUUUAAUUGUCUGAUUUAUGUUAGUAUUUAUAUCCGUACUUUUGAUAUCCAAUUUGUAACCCCAUCCUGUUAAAACAAAUAUGGAUUUGAAUUUUUGCAUCCGACUAACAUUCAUAUCUGUAUCUGUAUUCGUCAAAUAAAAUAAAUAUAGAUAUAGAUGUACUAGUAUCCAAUCUGAUUUCAGCCUAAAGCUAACCUACUCCUUCAAAUUUCAAAAUUGCCAUCUAUUUUGAGCCCCUCUCUCUCUAAAUUGUAAAAAAAAUGGCAUUAUAAAUAGUUAUAUAUUUAAUUCAAAAAGAGAGUGAAAAGAAAAAUCCAACCCUUCAAGAUAGCACCAAAUGUUGAUAUAAAUUGGUGGGUAGGGUAAAGUAAAAGAGGAGAUGAAGCAAAGCCUCCUCUUUUCAAUGGUAUUUAUGAAAAAAAGUGCAUCAUGCAAUUAAAAUUAUCUUCCAUCUUUUGGGAGGUCGUAGUGGUUGGAUAGUCUGAGUCACUACCAUGCAAAUGCCAGACAUGGUUUUGUCAUGGAGGUCGCCUGCCAUUUAUUUAACAAUGGAGACAAGGCAUCAUACCCAUGUUUGUCCAAAUAGGUGUAGAUGAAGAUAUCGGAUUGCACAGAAGUAAAUAUGAUUGUUUCAAAAAAAACUGGGCAAUGGAAAAUACAUGAAAGAAGUUCCUAAGGUCUACAUAAUACUGCCUUGGAAACUACUUAUUCAACCAAACCCUAUUACCAAGCUACACAAAUCUCCACAUGCCAUGUGAUAGAAAGAACUUGUUUCCCAAGUGCUUGACCCAGAUGAUUCUGAUUAGUGGUACUCCCCACUGUUUUUUUUGUUAUCAACAGAAAAAAAGGACCUUAAAAUAACAAAAUGUUAAUGUAAUCAAUCUAGAAUGCUUGAUGAUGCUAAUAAUUUAAAGUUUAAACUAUUUACAAACUUAUAUGAAGUGCUAAAACAUGUUGACUGAGAUGCACAACAAAACUGUUCAUGGCCCAUCCCUCCCAUGAAGCAUAUCAAAUUUAAUCACCAUUCCAUCUUUCUUUGCAUAAGAGUAUAAUACAAGUAACCAAAAAUGACCCAUUGGCACAAGAAUCAGUUCUACCAGCAAGGGAGUAUGGCUUUGUGAGCAAUUUCUUACACCUUGAUGGUCAAGCCUUGAAAGCUGCUAAUGAAUCACCAUUUUGACCUGCGUGAGGGCUGCAGCAGAGACAUUCCACUGAGAGAACCCACAUUUGAUUAAAUAGAAGACAGGCAGUUCAUCAAGCAUGAGCUAAUGCAUUCUAUAGAUUGUAAAUGAAAUUAAUUACUCAAUAUCAUAAUGCAAGACCCCCCCACCACCACCAAAAGAAAAGAAAGAAAAAAAAACUUUAAUGUCUUCCACCAUUUAUGGAAUACGUACAAAAAAUCAUCCUUCCUUUGUUAGAACCAAUCUAUGGACAGAUAAACCACAGAAACACUCCCAUUUGUCUUCUGCAUUGUUCCCAGAGCCAAACCUGUAAAACACAUACAGGCAACAUUAGGAAACAUCCUUCAGUCAUGUUCCCAAAUGUCCUGAAAGAGAUCAUCCUUUAAAGUGGGUGUUAAAAUAAUUGGCAGAGAAAUUCUCCUCUAAAGAGGGUUAUACUGGAAGAAAAUUUAAAGCAAAUGUAGUUUAAAAGGCAUGAAUGUUAUUAAGACGAGUAACAUAGGGCAAAAAAUUCAACAAUAUUACUCCUACUGACAGGCAAGAGGCUAGGAAAAUAGUUUCAAAAAAAUGGUACAAAAAUUAUAGUUCGGUAUGAAGCACAAAGCCUCUCUGCAUCAGCAACAAGAUAACAAUUAUGUAAAGUAUAUACCAUGAAGCACUACCUACAUAUCCCAUUCAUCAUGUCAUAGAAAGAAUUAGAUGUUUUGUCAGGAUCCAUUUAGUUGACAGUGAUUGUUAGCAUUUAGCAAAACUAUGGAGCAAAACCUCUCUGCAAAUUUUAAAUCUUAGAUCAACUAAAGAUAAAAUGUAAAGUAUAUUUAAGAAGAUUAAGGGAUUAAAAGAGCAAGAGAAUUUUGGUGAGCCAACUUAAAUCAUUUUCUAAGGCUAGCAAGUCAAAACUCCAUGCAACUCAGAUAAUUUGGGAAAGCUGUGUAUGACCACCAUCAUGGCAGUUGUUUUGACCCAGUCCACCAAUGCUUGGGUGGCUCAACAGGUAAAAGAAAGAAAGAAAAAAUUUGUGUCAAAUCAAAUGAUUUCUAAUGUGUUUCAAGCUAGAAUGAUUUGUCCUUGACUUCAGGCAAGCCAAAAAACUCGAAUGAAUUUAAAACUCCUGAAUCAAGCUGUAAGAUUUUUCGAUAAUAUCAAUCUCUUAAAGAGUUAAAGCUCUCAAAAGCUACAUGGCGUAAAAUCUUCAGUAAUUAUGAAUUACUGCAUUAAGGUGAUAAAAUCAAUAGCUACUCAAAACUGCAACUUUCAAAGCGUGGUCGUUGAUUGGCUGCUUUAAUAAUUAAAAUCUCCUGGCAUUUAUACAUGAUAGAGGGCUUGGCCAGUUAUUCCAUUCAUUACACUAGGAUAAAGGUAUUUUCGAUUAGCGUUGGAAGUAGACCGGGCCGGGCCAAGCUAGGACCCUACUCGAACCCGGCUCGAAUUUUUUUUCGGGCCGGGCUUAGGCCCAAAAUUUUUUAGAUAAUCUAGGCCCGAGCCCGACCCAAGCCUAGGGCCGAGCCUGGCCCGAAUCCGAUUGGGCCAACCCGAAUUACCUGUUUGGGACAAAAAUAGGUCCGGCCCAAACUCGAUUGAAAUUUAAUAUUUCAUAAUAUUGCUUGACAAGUAAAUGAGCUAGUUAAAAUUAGGCUUUCUCCUAUAACACAAAUAAAAUACAUGAUACAUUAUUCUCAGCUAAACCAAUUUUAAUUUGUCCUUUACUUCAUCAUUAUUCUCUUUAAAUAACAACAUACAAAAACAAAUUGAUUCGGGCUCCAUGUCGGGCUUGGGCCGGCCCGGCCCAAUAACAUACCCAAGCCCGGCCCGACAAACAAAUGAGCUCUACAUUUAAGCCCAAAUCCGGUCUGAACUCUUUCGGGCCUAGCUCAAAGCGCGGCUCGGCCAAAUGGGCCUCGGGCCGGCCUGAGCCUAUUUCCAACCCUAUUUCUCAUUUUCACAAUAUUUUUCUCCCUAAGAAAUUAUGGAUGCAGUGGUCAUUAUUUAAAUAACAAAAUUCAUACGUGUUUCUUCUUUGCAUUAGUUUAAAUAUAAUUAAAUGUAUGAAAGAGGAUAUAAUUAUAAUUUUUUAUGUUUAUUCUAAUUAUUUCUUAGGUAACUAAGAAGUUCAUAGAUAAUACUGACUUUUUAGCUAUUCAUUUAAUGAAUUUUUCCAUGUUGGAUUAUAUAUGCCAAGGUCACUAGUUUUGUGGCAUAAAGUUCCUGUGCAGAUGGUUGAUUUCCAAGGUGAUUCUAGGAUCAUGUCCUUUUUUUUGAAGAACAAAAAAGUUAUUCUAACUUUUGGACAGGGCCAUGCAAUACAGGUAACUAAUGUACGGCAGACCUUUUCUUAAGUAAUAUCAGCAGCUGAAGCAGUUCAAGGAAGUCAAGUGAAGCAAAGGUAAUUUUGUCGGAUGUAUAGCAAACCAGAUUUAUAUUAUACCAUAUCAUUUUAUACAACAUUUUAGUUUUUUAUACGGUAUUUUCUGGGACUGAUUUAGGAUUAAGUUGUUAAUUAUAGAGGUCUUUCAACCUCAGAAGAUCAAUUUUUUUGACAUGUAUUACUUUCACAAGGAUUGCGCAAUUGCAUCCCAUGCCCAAAGUGGCGGAGCCAGGAUUUUUUUUUUUUUUUGGUGUGUGGUGGGUGGGGGGGGGGGGGUGCAACAUUAGCAAUUAAUGAUUCAUGAAUAUUUCUUUUGCUGGCUACAAAAAUUUAGAGCUUAAAUUCUACACCUUUUACACAAAUAAAAUAAAAAAAAUUAAAAUGCCAAAAGAAGAAAAAAUUAUACUUAGUUUCACAAUGCAAAGGCAUAUUAGCAAAGUUGUAAUGUAUAAGACAUAGUUCCCAUCCCUUCUCCAUAUAUAUGUGUGUGUACACCUAAUAUAUAUAUAUAUAUAUAUAUAUGUAUAUAUAUAUGUAUAUGUAUAUGUAUAUGUCUGUCCAUUUUCCAUAUGUGUGUAAACAAUCCAUACAUACUUCAUGUUGACAGUUCGCCAUUUACACCAACCAUAAACCUUCCUGGAACAACAUCAUUAUAACAAUCCAGAAGGAUAAGUUACAGACAAAUCCAUACAUGUUAAGAACUUUUGGUAGGGAAUACAUCCUUUAAAUAUCGAUAUUUAACUUAUGUCUAAAAAUGAUACAACUAUGGCUAAUUACCUGUACACAUAAGAGGGCCUACUGGCAUCUUAAAUGCUUCAAAGUUAUGGUAGAAGGCAAAUAGACCUCUUCUAUCUUAACCAUUAGUUAUUCAUUUAACAAAAAAUAUUAUUGCCUCUUGAAGAGUGUGGCCCCAAAAAGAAUGUUAAUAAUACCAAUUUAAUUUUUUCCAUAUUUUCAGGGGAUGGGGGGACUUGCCUUCCCUUUGCCCCUGCUGGCUCCACCUGUGCAUGCCAAUGUUGACCAGGGAUUGACAUGGCACAUGCUGCAUGCUGUGGGCAUGAUACCAAUGACAUGAACACAAGCAUUUUUUGAUUUUUUCAGAUUAGGUUACUUUAAAUUAUUUCAUGAUAUUGUUAAGAGUUGGUCCAUGCAUUAAACAAUAAUCUAAAGCUAUAUAUAUAUAUAGUGCGAUCCAAUUUAACUACGUUACCCUAUCAUACAAUUAUGGUGUAGCUUAACACUAUAGUAGAGUAAUGUCACAGCUACAGUAAUGUCAGAUGGGGAUCUUCUAAGUACUCCCCAGCCAACAAACAAACCCUUGCUGGCUCCGACUGGUUCAGGGUAUACAUUUUAGGAUUUGAGGUCUGGUUUUGGGGAUUGGGCUUUAGGUUUAGGGUUCAGUACAGGGCAGUACCAUUUUGUAUCAUUCUAUAGGCUGUAAAACACAAUUACCUCUGCACACAUGCAAGGCCGGUACCAAAACCAGCCCCAAUACGAUAAGUGUGGCCAGCAUAGAACAACAUGGAACAUGAUCCAAAAUCUGAUUUCCAUUAAGGUUCUUGAACAUUUUCUUUGGAUAGAUAAUGGUACUCAACUAUUAGAAGACCGAAACUUACUAAAGCAGACCUUUGAAAAAAAUCAUCAUGCUUUGACAAUCCUAAUGAAGGAUGACAUUUUGAUUACAUAAGGGGACCAGGACAGAGUGAUCUUUUAUUGAAAAAGGACACAGCUUGAGAUGGAAAAAGAUAGGAAAUCAUUCAAAAAGUUGAUGGGCAUUUUGUUUAGAUAUAAUGAGUCAAAAAAAACAAGAAUAUGCGUUUUUUAGGAAUCAGUGGUGGUGCUUUAUUUAGACAAGCAGUUCUUUUCUAUGCUUUACAAAAAAUCCUAUAAUAUAAUUAUUAUCAACAAGCUUUAUCUCAUCUAUCCGGUCCAACUUUAAAGAAUGAUGCAUGAUUAUGGAAUGUUGAAGAAUGUUACAAGGCCAGCUAUCAGCCUAGCAUCAUCGGCUCUUAAAUCCAGGCCACGGCAUCUCUGGAUAAAAAAGGAACUUACCAUGAAACAAAAAGCCUACUUGUUGGGUAAAAGAUUAAUCUUCUUGAUCACACAACUUAAGCUCAUGCAACUGCAGAGCAUAUAUUAAAGAACAUAGAAUUAGGUUUCUAAAUGGUCUUAUUGGUUACCACUUGAUUCCAUCUUUUCUUCUUCUUGCACUUCCUCGUCUUAAAUGUUCUUUUUCUUGCCCUACUAUUUUUUCACUCUUCUCUUUAUUUCUUUUUUUCUAAAAUAAACUCUCUCACCAUUAAUCAAUCACAUAUAGAUGGUAUGAGUUUGUUCUUGUAUGCUAUUUUCAUCAUACAUACAUGGUGCACGAAGGCUCUCCACAGACAUGCAUUAAUAAUGAAAUUCAUACUUAACCAAAGAUCCUAACUCUAUCAUCAUGCUUAACAAAUUAGACAACUUCGUACGGAGAAAAGCUGACACCUUGCCACACAAAUGAAUUUCCACAAAGGAAAUGAACUGUGGUGUUGGUAAGAGGAACUUGAAUACCUAUGUAAUAGAUGUAAUUGUGUAUGUAACUCCUGAUUUCACAAAAUUUUACUCAUAGUAAGAGAUUUACUGUUAUCAUCAUGAAAGAUUGAGGAAUCUAUACAAAAAGGAGAAAAAAAAUUUUCUUCUACCUGAGAUUGCAGGAUAUGCAUAUGGUGCAGAAUGAUAUCUGGUUUUCAUCAUCCCCACUGAAGCCAUAACUACUUCAGGUCUUGAAUAGCUGUCCUCUCUGAAAUGAUUUGGAAAGCUAUCUGCCGAUGGUAAUCCUCCUGAGGUUCCCAAGAAUAGUUCUGAACUUUGUGUUAGAAUCUGACCAUGGUUCCAGACAGCAGCCAAGGAGUAUGUCUGUCUGUUUCCCAUGGGAGAAAGCAGAAAUCUAAUCACUGCUCGGUCUGGACUUUAACUAGAUAAUCAGAAGUUAUGCAAGCCUGCAAGGUUCUAUCAGUCAAAACACGCGUGAAAUAAAUGCUCAUCAUUAGACAUGUUUGAAUGGAAAGUCUUAUGUGCAUCUAAAGGAAUCCAUCCAAUAAACAGUCAGGGGAAUUAAACAGAACUAGCUUAGAAGAAUGAGACUCACUUCUUUGAUAGUCUACGGACUAUAGAAAGUGGAAGCCUUGACGUGUAACGUAAAGCCUCAUGAUUUUCCUUGUAAGGUAUAGAUAUCUAAGAAAAAUAAUGAUAUAACUGUUAGAAUUCAUCUGAUUUUCAGUUGUUUCCAUAUUCAUUUAUUGGGGUUUUUGUGAUGUUUUUGUCUUAUACCAAUGAAUUAGAUCUUGGAAUCUACGAAAACCUUCAAAUAUUAGAACCAGCCAUUCCACAUUCUGCCACAGUUGAAAGGAGCAAGGAUUAUGUUACUCUUAUCUUCCACUUUAGACUCUGUUUAUGGGCUUUUGGCCCAAUGGCCAUGUGCAUAUCCACCCAAUCUCGCAUCGCACGGAAGGCCAGGAUGUAGUCGGGUGUGCAUGUGAACUUGUUCUCCUUUAUAUUUAAUUUAAAUGUUUGCAAUUAAAUCCAUUCUAAGCCGUUGGGAUCUCUGGCAUGCAAAGCUUCAAUUCCUGUGGGACAAGGCCAUCACGGCUUUUUCAUGAAACGAUGUGCCAUGUCUUGACACUGAAGAUGGUGGAUGUCCUGCCCUGUCUGGUCACAGUCCUUGUAACAUCCCGACGCUUAGGACAGUGUGACAUUCAGCCAUCCCACCAGGAUUUAAAUACUUGCUGGUAGGGGAUGGUAGGCAUUGAGCUCUAGUUUAAUCGAGGUGAUAGUUUAGCUAUUCGAUGCCAAGGGGUCCUAUCGGCAACGGCAGGGGAGAGCACAAGGCAAUAUAUAGGUGAAGUUAUAGCUUGAGAGCUGCACUGCUGCAUCAACUUCACAAGAGGGGGCUGAUAAAGCUCUUAGCAUAGUGAAUAUAUGUGCUUAGAUCCCAAACCAGGCUUUACUUUUGUUUGUUCUUAUUCUCUAUUAUAUCAUAUUAUUGCUAUUAUCUUGCAUACUUAACAAUAGUUAGCUUUUGAUUUUUCAGUUCACACAAACUGCAUGCAAAAAUUCAAAAAAGAUUCAUAUCUUUUUUUUGUAAUGUCUAUACCUAUUAAAUAGACAAGAGAGAGAAACUUGUUGCUCUCCAAUAAUCGUUAAAAACUAAAAAGUUAGCGAGACAACCUAUCUCACUCCCAUGUCAUCCAUAUAAUCGCUGCCCUAUUAAAUGCCAAAAUAAAAGGAAAGGAUUAAUUUUAGAGACUCCAUUGAUUUUGGGAUAUCCUAAAGUGGAACCCUUUAUGACUUUCUUUUCCCUUCAAUACUGGCAUUGAGAAUCAAACGCUUGGCCAAAAGUUAGUAAAAUCAGAAAAUUUCAAAUAAUAAGUAACAACUUCAAAUAAAUUGCCGUGUCAUCCCAUAUGUCCCGACAUGCUCAGUUGUUGCCUUAGGAAUCCAAACAUUCAUUCCAUAUAUGCUCAACUCUUUUGAAAUUGUUUGACCAAGAUUUUAAGUAUCAACCUGCACCAAGACAUAUCAUACUAACUCGGUAAGGUAUUAGUACAUUGCAGGGGCUCAAUACACCCUCUACCUACAUAUGAUAGGUGUUGUGCUUACUCUAGUAGGGUAUCAUGCGUUGGUAUGGGCACAUAAUACCAUCGAUAAGUUGCUAGCAUAGGGCCUUGACAACAACAUGGGGGCAUACCUAAUGCAGACAAAAAUACCCUGCCUCAAGAUUUGUGCCACGGCCCAAACAGCAACAUCAAAGCAAAAUGGGCAACUCCUGAGGAGUUUAAAUUGAUGGCCAUCAUAAACAAGUGGUGGCACUUGACUUAUAGGUGCCCAAAGAGCUCAAACUUUUGCAGUGUUGGAAUGCAUCCUAGGUAGCAGGAGCAUAAAAGCAUAGAAAAUAAUGUAGAAAGAAUUUCAAGAUGAAACACUUCUAAUUUGUUCAUAUUCAAAUAGACUUUCUAGCACAACUUGAAUCAUAAUAAUUGGAGUUUAGAUGAAGAAGUUAUGGCCAAUUUAUUGAAGAUCUGUCCUUGCUGACAAAGUGGCAGUUAUUUACGAAGAUACCAUUUGCGACCUUAAAAGCAAGAGCUUUUUUUUCUUAUAUUUUUAACUAGAUUUUCUUAUUUAUUUCUUCUAAAAAUAAUUGUCAGAGGAGUUAGAAGUCCUAUCGUACUAGGAAAACUAUUUUUUGCUAUUAUCUCUUUAUUUUCUAUAGAUAGAUGUGUCUUACAGGAAUUUGGAAAGCCUAAAGAUCUUGGAAGACCUCUGUCAUAAAUACCCAUAUACGCCUCCCUUUUGUAUCAUAAUGAAUUGAAUCAAAGCUUUUGAGUUAUCUUUGUGAAAGAUCUUGAUGGUGUGACUCUGCCUUGCCAUGGUGCCACUUCAUAGCAACCUUCAUGCAACUCAAAGGCUCUUAUUAUAGUGUGACUCUGAAAGGCUCUACUCGAAGCUGGUAUAACAUCGGUGGUAAUGUAGGAAGCCAGGUAAAGAUCGGCAUGACUCUAGUUGGAUUAAGGGAUUUGGUUGAUCAGAAUCUAACUAGUUAUCCUAAGUUAAAUUAACUUCAAACUCUAUUAUAUUUCUCGCUUUCUAAUUCUAGUUUAGAUUCAAAGCCUUCUAGUAGAAUUAUUUUUUUAGUUAUUUUCUUUUAUCAAUAAUUAUUGUAAAAUCAAAAAUUAUUAUUUUAUUCUUUUUGCAAUUCUAGAGAAUCCUAGUUCCCUCUCAGGGUAGGAGAGGCUUUGUUCAGGUUAGUUUAUUUUAAUGGUAUCGAGCAUCCUAGGUAAUCUUACUCGCGGACAUCCUUCAUCAAUCACUUCUGCAACUCGAGUUAGGCCAAUGCACUAUGCACACAACACGACCUCAGCAGUCGGAUCCCUAGUCCUCAAAUUCCCGGCCUGCAUCAGUAGCUCAGUACUAUACCAUACCAAUAAGUUAUCGAAAUAGGGCUCUAAAUCAAGACUUAAGAUAUUGUGCCUGGCUAUUACCUUGUGAAUCCAAAUAUUUCAGACUAUUUAAAUUUUGGACAUGAUUUACUCAAACCUGACCCAUUGACAUCCCUACAAAUGUUACUUCCACUUGAGAAAUACCAAAAUAAUUAGAAGAUAUACGAAUGGCUUUUGGAUCAGCUUUAUUUGUCAAGAAACAAAACUCAAAAUUCAUUUUCCGUCUUGAUUAGUUGACUUAAAACAGCCCACAUUAAGCAAUUCAUCCUACCUUUUCCUUCCUUGCUCACCUAGUUUAGAAAGGGUUUCAUCUCUUUUUCCACAGAACAUAGAUAUCUAUUAAGAUCCAAGGAAACUUGCAAGGAAGUAAAAAUAUCUUCCAAUUCUUUUUUUCUUUUUUAUCUCCUUUUGCUAUUGUCUAAUUGUAUCCGACUUAGUUCGCUCCCUCUCCUUUUAAACCUUAGAAUAAAGAGGCUCUGAAAAGGAUUUUGCAAUUUUAUUUGUUUCUUUUCUUUCGGACAUAAAGAUCCCCUCAAAACAAAUUUUCAAUUAUGACUCUCAAGUCUCAACAAAACUACUUAAGUCUAAUGAUGUGAGAGAUAUGUUCGACAUAGCAAAUGAACACACAAAGAAAAAUUGAGUAGAUUUGAUUGCAAAAUUUAGUAAAAAUCAUACUCCACAUGCCUUAAAGUGGACAAAACUUAAUGCUUAGUAGACAGUUAUGGAUAUUAAUAUACUUAAGCUUGAUAUUUAACUCACACAAAAUGUCCUGCAAAAUUUCUAAAAAAAUAUGCAUCUUUUCUCAUUUUCCCUUAACUCCAACUAAUCUAAUAGAUACGAGAAAGAAAUCUUUCCUCCACCGCCCCCCCAACCCCCCCCCCCCCCCCCGCGCCCCAACACACAAAAGAAAAGCUGAAAAAUCUAGAGAAAACCAGUGAAAAAACCUAGCUUGCUGCCAUGUCAUUAAUAUUUGAACUGCCAGUUAAAUGCCAAAAAAAAGAGAAGGAUAGAUUUUGGUGAUUGUUGUUCACCUCGAUUAUUAAAUAUUCUAAAUAGGAAGUCUCUUAGAAGUUAGGAUCUUUGUCCCCUUUCAUAGUAGAGUUAUGAGAAUCUUGCGUAGAAACCACAAAAAAAGAUGAACAUACUUGAGUAAAAGGCAUUAUUUCACCCUAAAACUGCCUUGUCAUCCGCCCCCUUUCAUAGUAUAGUUAUGAGAAUCUUGGGUAGAAACCACAAAAAAAGAUGAACAUACUUGAGUAAAAGGCAUUAUUUCACCCUAAACUGCCUUGUCAUCCGAUAGUUUUCCACACGCUCACAAUUGCUUGAAAUCCAAAUGUUAGAUGACAUCAAUGGGUCGACCAUCGGGCCUAAUUUUAUAUUGUUCCAGCUGGAUCACUUUGUUGGGCCUACUGAAAAUUUUGGAUAUGCUGCCCAGACCCAAUCCACUAACGGUCCAAAAAAAUUCCAUAGAAACUAACCCACCUUUUUGAACUUUUGGAUCAACUUCAUUUGGACUUUGUAAAGAAUCCGAACUUGGAAAGUCAUGUUUACUCUUGAGUCUUGACUGAUUUACAACCAUCAUGUCUGAACAAUUAUAUAUAUACAUAUAUUCACAAAAAUAUACCCACAUAUACAUAUAUAUGCACACGCAUAUAUAUAAUAUAUAUAUAUAUAUACAUAUAUAUAUAUACACACACAUACAUACCAACAAACAUACAUAUAUACAUAAAAUUCUCUUUCCUUCCUAACUCAGUUACUGUAUAUAGUAUAUACAUUAGCUGCAUUUCAUCUUCUCCUGGACAAAACACACCUAUCUAUUAUAAUAUAAGGAAACCUAUGAGUGCAUAGAUCUUCUCAAUUGUUGCUUCAUCUUUUUUUCUUCCCUAUUCUUGUUUGUUAGUGUUCUAAGUUCUAAGUUCUAACUGUGUCUGACUUCAUUAACUUCCUCUCUUAAUCCUAAAAAUGAGAUAAUAGAUAGAAGUUCAAGCCAUCACAUCAAUUUAUUGGAAGAUUACUAAGAUGCAUGAACCUGCAAUUAGGGUUUAUAUAAAUUAUCAACUAGACUGAACAAGAUGAAUGAUGAAAGUGAAACCUUAUUAUUUUUAAAAUUGUUUCUAAAAUCUUCAGAGCUUUGGGUAGCAAAUCCAUUACUUUCAAAAAAGAGUAAAAAUAAAAGCAGGAAAAGCAGAAGUUUUGUGCAAAUGUUGUAUUCAAUAUCAAUCUCCAUAUGCCAUUUCACAAAUGUUAGAUAAACAAAAACACAGAAACAAUGAUGAUGCCAAACAGGCCGUCAAUUAUUUUUGUAGUUUUUUAAUAAAUUACUAGGUGGCUGCCACCUGAUUAUUUGAACUAUGUUAAUAAAAAAUGAGCAUUAAAUGUUGGGUCAAAAAACAAAAAGGAAGGUGUAACACAGCUAGACAGUAGUUGCAGAAUAAUUUUAAAGAACUUUAUGCUGACCAUGUUUUUACCUUGAUAAGAAGAAAAAGGGAAGAUAGGUUUAUUAGGCAAAAAAGAAAUAAACAACAAGGUACAUUCGUUUUGUUUAUUCUCAAGCUUGAAUCAUGUCAUAAAGAAAUGUCGGCAAGAGCAAUGCUACAUGGAAAGGCAUCGCCAGAGAAAUGAGAGGAUGUGACUAAGAAGUUGAGGAAAAAAUGAUAGCAUAAUAAACAGACUGUCCUUCUAAUAGAGAAUUUGGUCCACUAAAUAACAGAUAAACAAGGAUUUCUCAGAAGUAACAGCACAAUACAGAAGUAGAUUCAUUCCAGAACAACAAACAAAACCACCUCCCACUAAGAACAAAAACUAAGAUCAACUUUAGAGCACAAAAAUCAGGUAUUUCUUGAGAUCCAAGAAAGUACCUGAAAUCUGGAGCUUCACAGCUUAGAAAAGAAAAACAUUGGCAGAAUGCAAGACCUCUCGCAUGUGAUGCAGCAAUAGAGAGAUUGGAAGGUACUAAGGUUCGACUUCUCAAAACCCUCACUUCCAAUACUCGAAACCCUUGCUGGAAGAGUAGCAUUUCUGGAGAAAAACAACAUAAAACAAUCUCCCAGAAAGGCCACUCAAGUCCUCAUCUAAAGCUAGGGGCUUCUUGGAGAAGCUUCUUGCCUCAGAAGUCAAAUUUCUCACCUAACCUCACCCAACACCUCAUGCUUCUUUCCCAAAGACCCCCACAACAUAAACUACUAUUACAAAUAAGACCAAGAGAUCAAAAUGACCCAAAAUAUGUCCCAAAUAAGACUUGACAAGAAUUGGGAAACUAAGUAACAAAAACACCCCCGGAC
rnacentral:lncRNA from 1 species